rnacentral:lncRNA from 1 species
UUUUUUAAACUUAACUUUAAAUUUUUAAAGUACAAAAUUAAUAAAUUUAAUUUAAUAAAAUAAAUUUCUAAUGAAUAUUUUCUUAGAAUUUGUGUUGGGUCAAUAUGUAUCAAGUUAAAAAGAAAUAAAGAAAAAUAUAUAGUAAAAUUUUAUUAUUNNNNNNNNNNNNNNNNNNNNNNNNNNNNNNNNNNNNNNNNNNNNNNNNNNNNNNNNNNNNNNNNNNNNNNNNNNNNNNNNNNNNNNNNNNNNNNNNNNNNNNNNNNNNNNNNNNNNNNNNNNNNNNNNNNNNNNNNNNNNNNNNNNNNNNNNNNNNNNNNNNNNNNNNNNNNNNNNNNNNNNNNNNNNNNNNNNNNNNNNNNNNNNNNNNNNNNNNNNNNNNNNNNNNNNNNNNNNNNNNNNNNNNNNNNNNNNNNNNNNNNNNNNNNNNNNNNNNNNNNNNNNNNNNNNNNNNNNNNNNNNNNNNNNNNNNNNNNNNNNNNNNNNNNNNNNNNNNNNNNNNNNNNNNNNNNNNNNNNNNNNNNNNNNNNNNNNNNNNNNNNNNNNNNNNNNNNNNNNNNNNNNNNNNNNNNNNNNNNNNNNNNNNNNNNNNNNNNNNNNNNNNNNNNNNNNNNNNNNNNNNNNNNNNNNNNNNNNNNNNNNNNNNNNNNNNNNNNNNNNNNNNNNNNNNNNNNNNNNNNNNNNNNNNNNNNNNNNNNNNNNNNNNNNNNNNNNNNNNNNNNNNNNNNNNNNNNNNNNNNNNNNNNNNNNNNNNNNNNNNNNNNNNNNNNNNNNNNNNNNNNNNNNNNNNNNNNNNNNNNNNNNNNNNNNNNNNNNNNNNNNNNNNNNNNNNNNNNNNNNNNNNNNNNNNNNNNNNNNNNNNNNNNNNNNNNNNNNNNNNNNNNNNNNNNNNNNNNNNNNNNNNNNNNNNNNNNNNNNNNUAUGAUAAAAUUAUAUUAAUUUUUAUAGUAAUAACAUAAUCAAUUGCUCUUAAUUAAUUAUUAUGCGUCAUCUAGGUAUUAAGAAAAUAAAUAAUAUUUAAUGAAAAAUAAAAUAGACAUAAAAUGCGAAAUUAACUCUUAAUGUUUUAGAUUAAAUUUUCGUCUUUCGAACUAUUACUUUACUAUAUCACUCCUUAUUACAAGUUAUUUUUGUAUUAGAAAAAUAAGAAUAAAAAAAUGAUAUGUCAACAUAAAAUAUUUGAUUGACUAUCAAAAUUAUAUUAGUGCCACAUAAAUUGGGACAGGACGGGAGAAGAUAUAAAACAACAUAUAUUAUUUGAAAAUGAAAUAAAAAGUACUGUAAAUAACAAUAAUUAACAAAAAAAAAUAAAAAUUGACUGAUUUUUGCUUCAGCUGCUUCAAUCGUGAUUUUAAUGUACAAUGAUAUUUAAAGAGGGUAAAAUGGCAUAAUGAGAUUUAAACAGGAUAAAAUGUAUGCAGUAAAGUGUGAGAAGAAUAAAGCAUAAGUAAAUUUUAUUAAUAUAUUUUAAAGAAAUUAAAGAAAAGAAGUAUAAAGAUUAUUUGCAAAAGAUUUUUACAAACUACUUUAAAUAUAAAUAAAGUAAAUUUAGGUACAAAAAAUGUGUAUCUAUCACAAAUUUGCUACCAAAUACUUCGCAUUUUCUUAAUAUUAAUAAAUUUUCUAUCAAAUAUGUGUAGCCAUCUUUCUCAACUUUUUAUAGCUCCUCAAUAUUAAUUAACAUUUCUCUGUUUUAAAAACAAAAGGCAAAAUGCUCUAUUGGACCCCUGUACUAUGUCAGUUUUGUAAGUUGGACACUUCUACUUAUAUAUUUGUCAUCUGGAUCCCUGGACCCACGAAAAAGCUAUAUUUUAAACACUUUCUGGGAAAGUGUAACACACCCUCCCAUGUCAGCUGCCACACGUGUCAUGUCAUCUGCCACGUGUGCCACGCCAUUUAAAAAAAAAUUAGAAAAAGUAUUACAUUAAAUUCAAGUCAUUUUUAAAAUGCCACAAUACAAAUUAAAUAUUAAAAUUAAUUUAAUUAAAUAAAAAAAAUUAUAAAUUAUAGAAAAAUUUGAAUAAUCAUGCUUUUAAUAUUUGAAAAUUUUGAAUAAUAAUUUUAAAAAUAAAAAAACAAUAAAAAAAGUAUUACAUUAAAAUUAAUUAAAUAUUAAAAUUAAUUUAAUUAAAUAANNNNNNNNNNNNNNNNNNNNNNNNNNNNNNNNNNNNNNNNNNNNNNNNNNNNNNNNNNNNNNNNNNNNNNNNNNNNNNNNNNNNNNNNNNNNNNNNNNNNNNNNNNNNNNNNNNNNNNNNNNNNNNNNNNNNNNNNNNNNNNNNNNNNNNNNNNNNNNNNNNNNNNNNNNNNNNNNNNNNNNNNNNNNNNNNNNNNNNNNNNNNNNNNNNNNNNNNNNNNNNNNNNNNNNNNNNNNNNNNNNNNNNNNNNNNNNNNNNNNNNNNNNNNNNNNNNNNNNNNNNNNNNNNNNNNNNNNNNNAUUUAUUAUUUUUAAAUUUUUAAAAAUAUUUUUAAAUUAAAAAUUAUGAAGGAAAAAAAAGGAUCCUACAAAAAAAAAAAAUUAAAAAUAUUUUAAUUUUUUUUAAAAAAAUUAAAAAUAUUUUAAAAUUAUUUUUAAAUUUUAAAAAUAUUUUUACAUUUAAAAAGAUGGAGGGAAAAAAAGGACCCUUUUUAAUUAUUUUUUUAAAUAUCAUUUUUAUUUUUUAAUUAUUUUUUAAUAUUAUUUUUAUUUUUUUAAUUAUUUUAAUGUAAAAUUGGCCAAAUAUUAACCCCCACUCGCACCCCUAGGCGAGUGGUUACACUCUCUUUGUCCUAGUCACCAUGACCUUGCCACAUGUGCAAGGUCAACGGUCAAAGGGUGUGAAAUGUUGCUUUUUGAUUGGUUCAAGGAUCCAGAUGACAAACAUGUAAGUAGAAGUGUUCAACUUAUAAAACUGACAUAGUACAAGGGUCCAAUAGAGCAUUUUGUCAAAAUAAAAUAAAGAAAAGAAAAUCUCGACUCUUCUUUCUCUAUUAAAAAACAACACUCUUUUCGUGUGUUAAAAAUAAUACUUAAACAAAACAAUAGCGAAUCUAAGCUAUGUAUUCUCUUUAUCGGGUAAGUUUACAUGAUUCUUAAUCUUUGCGAUAUUGAAAAUCAAUAAUCUGCUGGAUAUUUGAUUUAAGCUAUUUCAUCUGAUUUACGCCUAUUCUUUCUUUAUAUUUCUGAUUGCAAAAUUCAAUACGAAGGUUAAAAAAAAGUUUCAAUUGUGAUCCCCUUAGCUCAAUCAUACUAAUGAAAAUAUUCUAAUGCUCAAACUUUCUACUACAAGAUAAAUCCUAAAAUUUAAAAACUGUAACCCACAUGUUCUACUGUUGGGCCCGUGCUGACGCGGGCCUUGCACUUCUAGUAAUUCAUACAUAUGCACCCAACAUUGUAUUCCCUGUUGCUUUUUUUUUUAAUUAAUCAUGGUGUGUGGACUGAUUUAUUUUUAUUUUAAUUAAUUUUAUGAAAUGUUUAUUAUCUUUCAUCAAUUAUAGAUAUCACAUAACACUAUUUAUCAAGGCUAAAAUAAAUAAAAAAUUACCUAAUAUUUUUGUCUUUAUUUAAUUUAAAUCUGAGACCUCAUGAUACUUAAAUUUAUUGACCACUACGAGUGUUUCUUUUGUGCUUUUUGGCAAUGUAUUUUAAUUUGAUUUAUUUGACUUCAGUGUUAUCUUUAAAUUUGUAAAAUAAGUUGAAUACAUACUGUCACUUCGUAUUUAAAUUGGUUUAUUUGACUUUUCAGUUGUCUAUGGUGUGUAAAAAUUGUAACAAUUGAUACAGCAUUGAGAUUUCAUACUUGGAGAGUACUACUACUACUUUUGCAAGAAAUAUAGGAGUAUAAUGUUAUCAAAACUUAUAAAACUAGUGGAUUAACCACAUGUUAGAGAUAUCGGUCUUAUCUAGAAUGCGUGUAAAAAAGUAAUUUUUCAAGAGAUUUCUCAAAUAAUAAAAAAAAUUAAAGUGCCUUAUAAUUACAAAGAAUAACUCAUCCAUUUUAUGAAUUAUAUUUUGUCCCUUCUCUUCGCAAGCAGUUUAGCAGAUAAAUUUGUUUCUAAUCAAGCCAUUAGAACAAUUGCUAGUCAUAGACUUAAAAAAUAGGAAGACUAAGUCUUUAAAUUUAGGGAUAAUACCUACGAAAAUACUUAAACUUUAACUAAAUUUUUAAUGGAGCAUAUUGAACUUUGCGGAGUCCUAUUACUCCUUAUACUUUUUUAAUCGGAAUUAAUUCCCCUCCGGACCUUUUGAAAGUGGAAUUAAUCCCCCCAAAACGUAUACCCAGUUUUUUAGGUGGGAAGUGUGGUACACGCGCUUUGUCUUUUUCAUUUUAUCACUUUUAAACAUUUUUCACCAUUACAACCAUAUUAAAGAUUCCACAACUCAUAUUCAUCCUAUAAAUCAAAUUCCCAAUAAUUUCAUUUAGUCAAUUUCAAAUUCCAAGUCCAUUCUUAUCACACAAGUUUUCAAAUUCAAUUUCUAGUUUCAAACUUUGAAUUCCAUUGAGUUUAAUCAAAAAAAUUCUUGCACAUUAAUUUUCUUGCACAUUGAAAUUAUAUGAAUUCACUUGAAUUUCAGUUUAUGUAUAAAAAAACAUACAUUGAAUUCCAUUUCCAAAUUCCAUUUCCAAACAUACAUAAUUUUCUUCAUCCGGGUCCUCAAAAGUUUUCAAAUUUCACUUUCAAAUUACGCCAACUCAAUUGAAUCUUCCAUUGAGAUUCAAAUUCUAAGUCCAUUCAAACUCAAAUUUCUUGAAAACUUUCUUCAACAAACUUUUAAAACUUUCUUCAACAAACUUUCUUAAACUCAAAACUUCAAACUUUCUUCCAUUGAGUUUUCAGUUUCAAUGACAGAAUCUUCAAGAAUAGAAACUGAAACGGAAUGAAAUGGACUGCAACAAAGAGGAAGAAGAAACUGAAACUCAAGAAUAAAGAAGAAAGGUGAAAGAACAAAGAAAAACUUUAAAUAAAUAAAAAUAUAAAACUUUAAAUAAUUAUAAAAUUAAGGGGUUGGUUGGCAAAAAAGCGAGUUUAAAAUGUUUUUAGCACUAUUCACGCGCUUAAUACGCGUGACUAACACGCAAUGUGCUAAGUGACAGAUAUGUACUAUUAAAAUACGAAAAAAGAAGUCUAGGGGUAAUAGACCCCCCGCAAAGUUUUGUAUGCUCAACAUAUUUUUGUGAGUAUUCUCCCUUUAAUUUAUAUAGAUUUUCUUCAUUCAGUCGCAAAGCAUGCUUUCAUAUAGACUACUUUUGUUGUUUUUAAUUAAGAGAAUGAAUUUCUGUCGAAGUUAAUGAGAUUAUAGUGCUGUCCACGACUAAAUGGGAAUUGAUCAAAGAAUUAUGGUGGGACAGCAUCACCAAGAAUUCUUCAACAUUAGAAAAGUUGUUUGGUUAAUUAGGAAAAUGGCAAAAAUGAGUAAUAAAAAAACAUUCAAAAAGAUGACUUUUUGACUCUCUUCAUUGGUUGGUUAGGAAAAAGGCUAUAAAUCGGUUUACUUUCAUCAUGAUCACUUUAUUUCAUUUUAUUAUAUUAUUAUAACGGAUUUUCUGGUAUACAAACUAAAUUGUCUUAAAAUAUUUAUAGUUCUGAGAUUAUAAUUAUGCACAUGAUAAGAAAGUUGAAUGAAAUAAGGUGAUAAGAAAGUUGAAUGAAAUAAGGUAAGAUAUUCUAAAAUUAAGUUUUGUACUAGAUUUAUAUUAUAUUUGAUUGACGCUAGAUCUUAGAAUAUUCCCAAUAAUUCAUUUCUUUAUCCAUCAGUUAGGGAAAAAGAAACAAGAGAUGUUAACACCAGACUAGUAUUACUAGUACUAUUUGCUCAAAUAAUUUUCAAAACUGAACCAUCUUCUUGGCAACUUCCUGAUGGAAAAUCCCAUCAUGACAUAUCAUUGUGGUGCUGUAUUAUAGUAAUACCACCUGCCUUAGAUUAAUUAAUAUAAUGAUAACCAUAGAUCUGGAAUAAGCGGUACUUUAUUUUAUUAUCAAUUUACCAAACAUUAUUCUCUGAAGACAACCAUAUUAGUAAAAUAAUGGUGAAGUAGCUGAUCAAGAUGAAUAAUAAAUUGAGACGUAUUCUGUUUGUUUGUUGUAAUACCUUCCGUCAUUUUAUGUUUGAAAAGAUUAUGUUGUCUUUUAAUUUAUGUAUUUGUCAGCAAUCAGCACCUAGACUGCUUCAAAGUGGUUGAUGAUCCCCCUGCAAUGAUGACCUUUAUAAAUAUUUUAAUCUUUUGAAAUUGUAUAGAUGUACUGUAUAAUUGGUGAAUUGAGAUACUAUGUUUUAUCUUGAUUUUUAAAUGUCAAGCAGCAAUAACGACAACAAUAUAUUCAAUGAAGUUUCAUAAGCGAGAUUUGAGAGGGUACAAUGUACACAGACCAUAUUCCUACUAUGGUGAAGUAGAGAGUCGGUUUUCGAAGGAGGACCCCGCUUCAUUCAAAUGUCAAGCAAACUUUGCUACACCUAAAUUGAUUUUUUUUUUCUAACCAGUAUUACUUUUGUGUUAAUUGAAGAUGAACAUAGUAGUUAAAGGUCAAGUCAAAUCCACUAAAAUAUAUUGCUUAUGUAUUGAAUAACGCUUGAUCUUGUAAUAAAAAAUCAAAAGAUAUUAGUGCUGCGUUUGGUUAUUAUUUUCAGAACAGUUUCAUACAUGCUAUAUUUUCAACUGCUCUUAUCUCUGCGAAUUCUAAUUAAGGUAACACAUAUGAUGAGGUUUCUCAAAGAACAGGUCUAGUGAAAAAAAAUAAUAAAAAAACAAUAUACAGUUACAAAUUAAAGUCUCCAGGUUCACUUUGCAAAUGAAGUUCUCUAUUGGUUUUGUUUAGUUAUUGAAUCAGUUUUUGGUGAAGAUUUAUUAAAGGGUUUCCGUGAUUGGUUUUAGGUUUAGGAAAAAACCAAUUCUAUAAUCCACAUUCUAUCUAAUAACUAAGCUCAAUAAACUUGAACUUUUCCAUUCAGAGGGAAGAUCAAAAACCUAUACGUAUAUUUAAAGGCAAUAAACCCCUUUAAUUACACAAACUAGCUAAUAACAAAAUUUUUAUUAAAUGUAUUUAAAAUAUGAAAAAGUAAAUAUACAAAAAAUUUAACAUAUAAUGUAUAUACAUAAAAUGACGAAAGACCUUAUCUACAAUUCUAAUGAAAGGGUGUCAAUUGACACUCAUUGGAUAAAGAUACCUUCGCCAAUGAUAUGUUGACUACAACCCCGUAGAGGGAGAAAGAUAGACUUUAGUUUAAAUUUACUCUCAACGGGAUGCUUAUAUAAAUCCACUAAAUAUAUGACAUGUGUCUUUACAUAUGAUAUGAUUGUUUACCUCAAAGCUCAAAUUGAUAAAUAUACUAUUUUAUCUCACUUUUAUACUUUAACAUAUACUAAACUGAUCAUGUCAUUUAGUUUAAAUAUCUAACUAUGAAUAAUUGUUUUCCCUAGCUCAUGAAAGUAUGGUAAAGUUAAUGUGUUCUAACUAUAAGGAAUGGAUCGACAGCUUUCGUUUUCUAAUCGAUGUACGGUGAAUUGAUUGACAUCCUUUUAUUCUUAAAUAUUAUGUUUGAGUCCAUGGAAAUGAAAAAGUCUUAUUGAGAUUGCCGCUUCCAAUUAUUGAACUUUACAGUACGUGAAUCUGAAUUUAGUCAAUCUCAAUAUAAGAAUUGUAGACCGUGUGAAAGUUAAAUAAAAAAUGGGCCAAUGCUUACAAUAUUCAGGAGUAAAGUUUUUCUCUGGAUGUGAUGUGUGAGGGACAAGAAGUCAAGCACAAACCUUGCAGAUUCUUCUCGCACGAGAAAGCUAAGUGAAAAUGAUAGACUAUGAUACGGCUUUAUUAGUGGAAAGAAAGAAGAAAUUGGAGUUAGAAUAGUCAAAUUUAAGUCGCAAUACUAGUAAAUGUUAUCCAACUAAAUAAAUUUGGCCAAUAAAUUUCUAUCUAUAUCUUCUACGAGAAUGAGAGUAACGAGAAAGUACAUUUCUACUAGGAUAUUUUUACUAGUAUGUAUGAGUAUAUUUUUACCCGUGAUGUGACUAAAAGGUUGUUCGUUUAAGUCGUGGAAAUAAUUCCUUGCAGUGAUGUAAAGUGACUUUGUGUACAAUAAAUACUCGUGGUCCGAAUCUUCCUUGAAUCCUGCACAUUGCAAAAACUUUAGUCCACCAAGCCAUUCUUUAAUAUAUUUUUAUUGAAAACAUUGUGAAUUCUUCCCUAAAAUGAAGCAAGUUUUGAUAUAACUAUUGUUUCUUUCAUUUUUAUUGUUUUUACUAUUAAUAUAUUGGUCAAGUGUAAGUAAUUUCGGGAUAAAAUAUUAAGUUUUCGAGUCUCUCGUUAUUCAUUAGAGUGAAAAAGUUGAAUGUUCAAAAAUAGAUUUCCGCUGCCGGGGCUUGAACCCGGAUUCCUUAUAGAUGGGAAUUGCCAGUGCUACAGCAGAAUUUGUGUUAGAUGUUUGUCAUUGUCAACAUAGUAAUUAAUAUGAAUGUUACAGUAUGCAUGAAAUUGCAAAUCUUAAUUUAAAUAGGUUAAAAUUAGUAAAUUAGAUAAAUUAUUAACUUGAUAUUCACGUGAUUGUUAUGAUACAGUAUUAUUUUUAGAGUAUUUUGAGCAAUUUUUCAUGAGGCAAGAAUCUGUCAGAAAAAAAUAUUCUACCUUUGUGGUAGAAAUAAAAUUUAUGUGCAUCUUCUGAGAUAGUAGAAUGAAGAUCAUAGUCAACCUUUUAACAUUAAAAAGAAUAAAUAUUUCUUAGUAAAAAUUAACGAAUGAGUAGUAGUAUGAAGAUAUUUCUAAGCUAAUUAAUUAAGAGCUUAAUAUUUUCAAAGUUUACGGUCUCAUUAUAUUUUUUCUAACUUCAAAUUAAUUUUUUAUUAUAGCUUCUUUUAUUUUUUGUAUUCUUUUUUUUUUUUUUUUAUUAACUGAGUGUCUAUUGAAAAUAAUGUAUAAUUUCUGGGCAAAUAAAAUAAAUUCAGAUAAUUUGAGGCUUAGAUAUAGAAAAUUUCAAUAUUUUGUAUAAUUAAUGAAAAUUUCAAUUUUGGAUCUAUUGAGAUACAAAAAUAGCUACCGAUACAUCCAACGAAGAUACAUUAUUUUUCCUGUAAAAAUAUAUAAUUAGUUCUCGAUACAUUUUUUUUUAUUUUGGGUCUGUCGAGAUACAUAAUAUAUACAACGGAGAUACACUUUUUCUUUUGUAAAGAUACAUAAUAUAAUUUAUUUUUGAUCUGGGGUCUAUCAAAAUAAAUAAUUAGCUCCGAACAUCCAACGAAGACACAUAAUUAGUUAGGAUUUUGUCAUUACUUUUGUAAGGGUGGAGAUUUAUGCAAAUAUGAUAAGUUAAAGAUUUAUGUUUAUGUUGUUGUUUUUUUCUUUGGAAAAAAAAUGAAAAUAUACAUCAUUAGAUUAUAUAUUGCAAGUCAUAGCAGUACUUCUUAAAUUGCAACUAAUAACAACUUUUAAAAGAAAAAAAAUUAAUAACUAAUUUAAAACAAAAAAAUAUUAAGAAAAAACGUUUUUUAAAAUAUUUUUGUUAAAAAAAAAUUCCAUUUUAAUAGGAGUUAGUUAUUAUGUGGGCUAAAAUUAUGGAAACAUAUUUUUUCUUAUUUCUUCAAUUAUAUUUAUAUUUUAUUUUUAUUUUUUAAAAUAUUUUCCUUCUCUCUCAAUAUUUCUUACCCACUCUUUCUAUAAUUACAAAUUACAAUACAAUAUCCUUAAUUUCUAAUUUAUGAAUUUUGACUUUGCAAUAAUAUUGAUGAUAGAAUUACAGUAUGAAAAUUGAUGCCAAUAAAUAUUAUAUGUUAAUAAUUAUUUGUAACGUGUGAAAUUGUAUACAAUCUAGUAUUGAUGUGUUAUUUUAAAUAAUUAAGUUGAAAUCAGUUUAUAUAUAAUGAAGUCAUAUUUUAAAUGAUUUUCAAUUUUUUUAUUCUACCUACAAAUAAUAUAUUCGUAUAACUAUUUUUAGUGUAUGAAAAUGAUACAUAAUAUGAUAUUCACGAAUUAGUUUAAUAAAUUCCGUUGAAGUCAGUUUAUAUACUCAUUUCAUUCUUAAGUAAUGUUCUUUUUAGUUCUUAUGAAAUUGAUAUUAAUGAAGUUUUGUAUAUUUCAUAUUUGUAUGAAAUGAGUAUUCUGAAUAUGAUAUUUGCAGAAUCAAUCAGUACGAUUUUUUUUUUUUAAAUAUGCAAAAGCUGAGAUAAUAAAGAGAAGAAGGCAUGUAUCAAUGGAGUGUAAAUAUUCAAAAGCGGAAAUAAUAGAGAGAGACUUGUAUUGAUGGAGUGUAAAUUUUAAAGAUCAAUUUUAAAAAAGAAGAAUUGAAAGGCGUGUAGAUAUUGGGAAAGUAAAAGAAGAAAAAAUUUAAGUUUUCUGAAAAAGUAAAAAAUGUGGAUCUAGAAUGUAAAUUCAACACAGUAAUUUAGACUAAUGGAAAGAGAUUAAUACAAAAAAAUUAGGAUAAAUAUAAAAUUAUAUCUAAAAAUAUUUUUUAAAAUAAAAGUAAAUAAAUAAUAUUUACUUAAAUCUGCUACAACUUACAAUUUAAAACACAAUUCAAUAAUUAUAUAAAAAUAGUAUUACAAAUUACAAUAAAUAAUCUAAGCAAUUAAAAAUAUAAUUCAAUAAUUAUAUAAAAAUAGUGGUACAAGUUACAAUAAAUAAUCUAAUAAGUACAUGUAGGAUAAUUUUCACUUUUUCUUUUAUUAACUGAGUGUCUAUGAAAACAAUGUAAUUUUUGUUGAAGUGGGUUUUGGCCCACAAGCAGUGAUGCAACAGUCCAACAGACCCGAAAUAGGCCCAAAAUUAGGUAAUACCAGUAACCCUAUUUAGGGCAAAAUUAUCAUUUGCAACUUAAUAGAAGACGAGUGUUUUCUUUGGGUUCUAAGGUUUUCCAGGUAAAAUUUUCCGUUCCUCUUAGCCCUAAUUUCUUGUUGAAAUCGUCUGUGUUGAAAGCUAACAUUGCCAAAUAUAAUUCAUAGGUUGAUAAUAAGGAAUAGUUUGGCGUUAUUGAUGAUUUGAUUUGAUUUUUUUUUCAAGGAGUCGAAUAUGAAGCCUUUAUUCGUGGGGAAUGUUGGGUAUGAUACACGUCAAUCAGAACUGGAGCGAUUGUUCUCCAAGUACGGAAGGAUCCAGCGUGUUGACAUGAAAUCUGGUAUCUAUCUUCCUUUUGCUUUCUCUCUCGUAUAUCUGUUGAUUUAGUUAGUUUUAUGUUCAUUCGACGGGCAAUUGCGGAACCACAAUUUUCAUCAAGGAAAAGCCUAGGUGAUUCGAACAUUUACUGUAUAUACAUACAAAGUAAUUUUAGCCUUAGCCAAAGGGGAUGAAUCUCUUGCCAGUUGCCCCAAUGCAACUCCGUCCCUGUUUGAGGGGUUGAGAUUAUAGCUCAGCUUAUUUUGUAAAGUGCUUUUAAAAAAAGUACUUUUGGUGAGAAACUGUUCGUCUUUGACAAGUACACUUUUGAGCAGCAGUUAGUGUUUGGCUGAGUUUUUUAAGUGUAUUUUUCUUAAAAUUGCUUUUAGAUAAACGCUAUUUUUUUAGCUUAUGAAAAACAACUUUUGCUACUAUCUAGAAGUACUUAUUUUCUUCCAAAAGGUAUGCGAAACACCUCACUUUUUAAAAUAAAUAUUUUUUAGAAAGAAAAAACAUUUUUUUUUAAAAUAAGCUUGGCCAAAUAGACUAUUAUUAGUGUUGGUUUCUUAAUGCAUCCAUUCUUGAUGCCGUAAAUUGACUAAUGAGAAAAGAACAAGACCCAAAUUGCUUUACUUGUGCAAUUAUAUUGCAAGUUAAAAUGCAUUAGGUUGCUAUAUCUUUAGUUGUUAGAAAUUACGUGAUUCUUGAAUGUCAUGACUCUUGUUCUUAAACUCUAGUCAGUGCUGAAUGCUGAUCUUUAUGGAGCUAUUAAUGUUUGUUUCUUUAUUCUAUUGCCUUUCGGCGCAAUGCCACAGCCGGUUCAAACCGUGAAAAGAGAGUACGCUGGUACAAACCAGUGUAAAAUAAGUCUAAUUAGGAUAAGUUUCCCACGUCUCACACAAAGGUUUCAUAUAGCUGACCGCCUGAACCCAAUUAGUUUUGCACGAACUCUAUCAGGGUUAUUGUUCAUUUUAAUUAUCAUGCAGAUCCCCCUUCCCAGCAUAUGAGUAUAGUUCUUUGUUUCUUUAUGGAUACUGCAAUGGUGAUUAUCUGGAUACUUGGUUGUAGCUUUGUAUGUGUGUGUACAUGUGACAUGGCAAGACAUGGUGGGGAGUCAAAUGUGAAAUUCAUUUGGAGGAUCUCCAUAUUUAAGUAUUUCUUUUGACGCAGGAACAUCUCCUAAGGAGAAAGAGCUUAUAUCAUGGCUCAGCACUUGCAAAAACUUCUAUUGCAAGGCAACUUAUCUGUCUUCCUGUACUCCCUUCUCAAUGAUGGAACCGUUCUGCAUUUCUUAGACCGAUCUUCUGUCAUUCACUUACUUCACUGUCCAUGUCGCCUUUUUCCCAAGAAUGGUUGUGGUGGGAUGUAUUUGUUCUUCAUGCCAUGCCUACCACUACUAAUAAGCAGAUCAAUGAAUUCUAUCAUGCCAUGCCUCCAUAUUCUGAAUCUUGCUGUGAAAUUGGUGAAGCAUGCUUAGCAAUGACUACUCAGACUUGAAUUCUUGGGCUUAACCUUUAAUAAGACUUCAUCAUCAUCAUGAUUUUGUUCAUGCAAGGCCCCUCUCUCUCUCCUUACUUUCAUCAGGCCUUCACAUACUUGCAGGUGUUGUACUUUUUUAUUUCCUAAAGGGGAUGAGAACUUUAAUUUAGCUGAUGUACACUCUGCUCAAGAGAUUUCAAACUUGUCUUGCUUUUCAUCGACCUUACAAUGUAGUCUUUACAACUAUAGGCUUUGCUUUCGUCUACUUUGAGGAUGAGCGUGAUGCAGCUGAUGCCAUCCGUGGUCUUGACAACACGCCAUUUGGUUAUGACAAGCGCCGGUUAUCAGUGGAAUGGGCAAAGGUACUUCCUUUGCACUCUUGCUUCUCAAAUUUGGUACAUGUUAUCCUGUUAGACAUUACCUUCUCCACGAGGCAAUAGAAUUGAAAUUGUAGUCAACAGUUUAUGUAAGAACCAUGGUUUGUAUCUUUGUUUUGGCAGGGUGAACGUGGUCGACCUCGUGAUGACUCCAAGGUUGCAGCAAACCAAAGACCAACAAGAACUCUGUUUGUCAUUAACUUUGACCCUAUUAACACUAGGGUGCGUGACAUAGAAAGGCACUUUGAACCGUAUGGAAAGAUCCUUAAUAUUCGAAUUCGUCGGAAUUUUGCGUUUGUGCAGUUUGAAAAUCAGGAAGAUGCCACAAAAGCCUUGGAGUGUACACACAUGAGGUUGCCACUGCAUUUUCUUCUAUUUACUGAUAUGGCAAUUUCUUGUCUGUGCAGUGCUAUUUUUUCUUGUUUCCUGACAAGAAGUGAGGCUUUUGCAUUUGCAGUGAGAUCCUUGACAGAGUCGUUACGGUAGAGUAUGCUUUGAGGGAUGAUGGCGAGAGAGGGGACAGGUUUGACAGCCCUAGAAGAGAUUAUGGCAGGCGUGGUGAUAGUCCUUACCGAAGAUCACCAAACCCAGUGUAUCGCAGGGGUCGGCCUAGUCCUGAUUAUGGUCGUCCUCGUAGCCCAGUCUAUGACAAAUACAAUGGUCCAUCAUAUGAUCGGUACAGGAGUCCUGACUAUGGGAGGUAUCGCAGGUAGAUUCGUAGUGUCUGACAGAGAAACUUAUUUUUACUAUUUGAAUCUAGCUAGAGUGCUUAUGCAAUUCUGUAAUUUUCCUUAAGUGGGGGCUUUUGUUCACUUUUACUUCUUGUUCACUUUCUUUUUCCUCCAUAACUUCAGCAGAUCACCUGUUCGGAGGUCAAGAGCUUGAAGCAGUAAUUUAUCGGACGAAGAUCACGGCUCCUUUCUGGUGUCGUAAUAUUACUAUAUGCUGUGUAUUAGUGUUAUGGAUUGUUUAUUGUAGCAUUUUGUAUCUCUUAAACUAUAGAGAGUUUGGUAGUUCAUUUUGGGUGUUGGAAAACAUUUGCAUGGGUAGAUUCACUGCCUCCGCUUGUUCUGAGCAGUUGGCACGAAUUGACGCCUGAACGAAUAGGAACAUAUGUAAGAAAAUACUUGAGCAAGCUUAUGACAAUAUUAACAUGUGCUCCAAUUGCUUAUACUCUCUUCUGCCUUUUCUUUCUUAUUUUGAUGGUUGCCCCAAAUUUUGAGUUCAGGUUUGUGCAAGCAUAUUUCAACGAGUACAGCAGAUAUUACAAUCUUGAGAUUUGGGUUAUUUGCACCUAUUGUAACUUCUAAAACGAACCUUCUCUUUCAGAAAAUUGUCCAUAAAACACUUGGAAAGUUUGUCUGGAUGUCAGAUUGUUUUGUUUCCCAGUAGAGACGGUUGCUGAUCCUAUGAUCAUCAGCCCAUUUAACUUUUCAGAUCAGUGACCAAGUUCUUUUUCUGUUUUUAGAAUAUCUCAAGUGACACUUACCCGAUACUGUGCCGAAGCCAAAACGCUUAUUCUUUGGGGUUGCCCCUAUAGAGGACUCAUCAUACAAUAGUAUGUCAAAUCUGAUGUCCAAGUUUCAUUGGUCUUUCUUGAGACAGGUUCUUCUGUGGUUACUACUUUUUACAUUUUACAGUUUGAAUUGAUUCUUCCAAGAAUGAGUCAGCAAACCGUUCUAAUUGGAUGAUGAAAUUAAGUUAUCAUCUGGUAAUAUCUAUUUCCCAUCUGCUAUAACAAAGCUUAAUCUAUGAACAAGGAAUCCAUACAAGUACAAUUUUGAUGCAUUUGUUGCAUCAUACAUGGAUAAUGAGCUAUCAAUGACCAAUACAGAUCGUGUUCAAAAUAAACAAUGUCACACCAUAUUAAGAGUAUUUAGACGAACUUAGCCCUUCAGAAGCAGCCGGGGUUGAACUGUUGUUGGAGUGCUUUUUCAAGCCAUGUUUCAGCAUCCUGCAUCAUCUCUGGGCUAAGUCUGACCAUGAGUAUGCAAAACUCAUUUUCAUCCAAUGCUCCAUCACCAUCCAAGUCUCCUUCUCUCACCAUAGCUUCUGCAUCUUCUCUGCUCAUUCCCUCCAUUCCCAAAAGCGCAGAGUUUUUUUGCAAACUAGAGGGUGUGAUCAACUGGAUCGUCGGGUCAGCCAGUAGCUGGAAUCCUCCACUUAGCUCCUUAACAAAGGUAUCCACGCCCAGCUUCUCCGCCAUCACCGGUAACAAGUCUUGAUAUUCGCUUGAUGCUUCACCAACUUUGCUUUCCAUUCUCUUCUUAAUGUGUGUUUGGUUAUGUUAUCUCUACUGUAAAAAUGAAAACUCAAGCUCAGCGUACUUAGAAAGUUGAAUUAAAAUCCCUUUUUGUAGUACAAAUUUUCUAAUACUAUCAUUGAUCUAGGUAGGGAAGUUGGAAUUUAAAAAGUCUAUAUAAGAGGGUGGGGAAAGGCUACGGGCUAUGGUCCAUAUUUUAACAGUGUACUACUGUACCAAUUGAAUGGAUAGGUUGUGUUGGACACCCACUCCCAUCCCCCACCCUCCCUCUUUUUUAUUUGACAAUUUGAUAUUCAAAAUCGACUUUUCUAAGUAAUGGCUGCUUAAGACCCAUUAUAAAGGCUAAGUUCUUCCUCAAAUUUCCUAUGUUUUGGGACCCUCCGAAUUUGUAGGUAAAUAUGGUGUAUAUGCUCACUAUUAGAUACAUGCGAUGCAGUUUCAAAAUUCAUUUGAACAUAAAUUUACCUUGUAUUAGUUUUAACAAGUAGUUUUCUCAACCAAUAGUAAGACUAAAUGUUAUAAGACUUGAAGAAUAUUACAACUGAUUAAAAAAUAAUAGACGGCGGGAGCCGGGAGAAUAGUUCCGAUCGAAACUAUUACAAAGUAUAUAGAUAGUAUAUACUUUAUUCUAAACGUAUAUAUAAUACAUGCAUCUAUAUACAGCAGAUACACUAUCAAUAUCUAUAUUGUGUAUAUUUCGGCCAUAUUAGUAAACUAAACGACUGAAUAUAUAUAUAUAUAUAUUGAUAACAACCCCCAAGUAGUACAGAUGGACAUCAUCUCGUGGGUUGUUUUUUUAAAUACUUUCAGGCUUUAGCAAUGUAUAUUUGAUAUAUUCUUUCAAAAGAACAUAAGAACAUUUCUUUAAGGAAAUUAAGGUUUCGAGGAAGAUUCGUAGGAGGUGGAGUGGAUGGGGAUGUGCUAACUCAUGUCAAACUUGUCACAAGGAUUUUUCCUUAGUUUGUCUUUUACUUUGUCUCCUUCCUUGAAGCUUCCUAUCUUCUCAUUUUAAAAUGUUUUGGUCCCAUAAUAUUGGUUGGAAUUUAAUUGACGUAAAGAAAUUUAACAUUAUCAGUGUAAUUGAUCUUUUAUAACAGGUUAUGAUUCCGAAGGAACUAUGAAAAAUUGUCAGUCAAGGAGCUCAUGAUGACUAUCAGAACGAACGUGUCUAAGGAUGAGCUAUAAUACCCCUUAAUUAGCUUUGACUGAUUGGUUUCAAAACUAGGUGUUACAUACAGCUCUCUAAAAGAGGUUAAGGUAUCUGGAUUACGUUCUUGAUCAUAUAUUCAUUGCAUUUAAGUAGAGUUAUUUGAAAUAUUAUUUGUAUCGUCAGUGUAAAGAAUUUCUGGAUUUUUUCUCGCUAAAAUAGGCAGAGGAUGUUUUCUAAGCCCAAGUUGAGGAGGGAGACAAGUUUUAUAAAAUAGUUAAGUACUAGUAGUAAUAUAUAGUUUUCCUUGUCAAUUGUCAUACAAUUGUGAAUGACUUCCAUCUCUAUAUCAAACUCUAAUAGGGGUCCCUUUUUCAGUGACUUCAUUGAUUACCUCAUAGACUUUAUAUCAAAACCAAUAUGGAGCAUCUCAAAUUGACCAAAAAUCUAGUUCAGAAGUAAUCAAUGUUUAAAUUUCAAAAAUAAUAAAACUAACAUAAUCCAAAAGUAAUUAAACCCCCCUGAUGAUGUUGUACUUAGCCAUCACAACUUUGCCUUCCUUGUACUUGUGAACAUCAUGAAAACUUUUCUUGUAUUUCCACCCCAAAUUCUGGCCACAUUCAGCACAUAAAAUGUCAGACACAACAUAUGGACCAGUUAUCAAUAUCCUCAACACUGAAGGCUCUUCCACAACAUUGCUAGCAUGAGAAAAAAGGAAAGCUCGACCACGUCCAUAUUUAUGUGUCCCCUACAUAUAUAAUAAACUCAAAUUAUUAUUCUCUCUCUCUAUAUAUAUAUUUGAACUGAUGAAACCAACAACUAUUACAAAAACAAAAUAAUGUGUACUUAACUAUAUAAUACUUGUCAAUGAUGUCAUUAUGAUCUGCUACAAAAUUCCGGCAUUUGAAGCAGCAAUACCCUCGUAAUCCACGUGAUUUUUCCAUCUGAUAUGAAUUAGUAUAUUCAAUUUUAGGGAAAAAUAAUGAACUUGUAUGUCUAAGCAAUUGUUUGUGUAGUAUUUGAAAGCAGAUCUGGAGCAACCACACUGGUGUCUCGUGUCACCAGUGUUGGGAGUCCUCACAAAACGUCACAACCAAAAUAUAACAGUUUGGUUAAUAUAUAUAUAUAUAUAUAAUUGCAUUAAAGACUUGGAAGAAUGAACGUCAAAAGAUUUGAAUACCAAAGAGGAUAUGAUCGAAUCUUUAUUGUAACUAAUCUUAUCAACUACUGUAAAAUAAAAUCUUACCUAAAAUAUUUAAAUUAGCAAUUUUUUCGCAUGUUUAUUUUUUGAGAAGCUUCCCCUGAAGUUUCAGUUUGUAAUACAUACCUCUUAUAUGGUUUCGAAUAUUACACAAAUCUCUCUCCUUUGAUAUUUAAUGAAAUAAAACUAUUUUGUAACUUAAAUAUGGACAAGGUUAAUUUGUUCUUUAUAUGUUGGUAUUAUGUCUUAUUUUACUUUGUUUAACUGAAUUAACUUAUGUUAUCCUUAUACUUUUAUAUGUAUUGAAAAAUAUAAACUUCUUUUUUCUUCAGAUUACGAAUAUCUUAUAUACUUAGCACUUCCAUUUUUACUUCAAGCAAUAUUUGGCAGUGUUUGACGGAUGUUUUGCGGAUUUGAAACAAAAGCAAGAGGUUAUGUAUCAAAUCAUUAAAAUAGUUUGGGUGCAAAUAUAUAUAUAUAUUGUUAUGAAAUAUAAAGAAAGAACAACAAAAAUAGAGAGAAGAGGGAAACUUCUUUAUUUCUCGUGAUGGGUGAGAGAUCACAGAAUACAAUGAAUAAAAUCCCUUUAUUUAUAGGGGAAAAUCCUGAUACAUAUCAACUAGAUCUUAUUAGAUCUUGAUAGACAUUCACUAUAAUAUAAGUACAUUUAUAACACUCCCUUGAAUGUCUAGAUAGAUAAUGUGCCUCGUUAAAACCUUAGUAGAAAAAAAACUCAGUAGAAAAAAAAUCUAGUGAAGGAAAAAGGGUACACAUCUCUAACAAUACGCAUAUCGGCUGCCUCAUUAAAAACCUUACAAGGAAAGCCAGUGGGACAAAACCUCGUAAGAGAAAAAGAGUAUAACGCGUAUUAACUCCCCUAAUGAGAACAUCUUUGAACCUUUGCAUCCUGAACUUGUGCACCAUCUUCUUGAAAGUUGCAAUUGGAGGAGACUUGAUGAAAAAAUCAGCCACAUUGUCAUUUGAGCGAAUAUGUUGCACGUUGAUAUCACCAUUCUUUUGUAAAUCAUGUAUGUAGAAAAGUUUUGAUGAAGUGUGCUUCAUUCUAUCUCCUUUUACGAAUCCUCCAUUAAGAUGUGAUAUGCAUGAUGCAUUAUCUCCGUAUAAAAUUGUGGGUAGAUUGUCAUAUUUCACAUCACAUUUUUCUCAAAUGAGAUGUAUCAUGGACCUCAAGCAUACACAUUCUCGGCUUGCUUCAUGAAUAGCUAUUAUCUCAGCAUGAUUUAAUGAAGUGGCUACGAUAGACUGCUUUGUAUAUCUUCAAGAUAUUGCAGUACUACCACAUAUGAACAUAUAGCCUAUUUGAGACCGAGCUUUAUGUAGGUCAGAUAAGUACCCAAAAUCAGCAUGACCAAUAAGAUCGGGACUGCAAAUUUACUAACAAAUCAACUAAAAAAAAAGGCUAUAUCAGGCCUUAUAGUAUUUGCAAGAUAUAUUAGUGCAUCAAUUGCACUAAGAUAUGGUACUUCAUAACAAAGGAGUUCCUCAUUCUUUUCUUGAGAUCGGAAUGGAUCCUUAUUCAAUUUUUGCAUGUUUCUCAUUUAAGCAAAUACUCUAUUGCUUUUGAAAACUGUCCAAGAGUUUCAAUGAUACUCAAAUCAUCAAAUUAUAUCUUAUAAGGAUAAUAAAAAGUUUUCCAGAAACUUUAUAUGCUUCAGGCAUUUUGAAUCCUUUAGGGAUUUUCAUAUGAUUUUUUUUCAAGUAACAAUAUUCAACAUACAUGUCAAGUGUGACAUCUUCAAGUGUCUGGACUGCAAAUCAAAUAAGUUUUACGCUUACCAAAAUGCAUUCUUUCAGGUCACUUGAUAAAUGUUUCUACGUCAGCAUGCUUAAGUAAACGUAGAAUUCGGAUCCUCGUAAUCUUUUACAAUAUUGUGCCAAUAUUAUAUCAAAGAUAUCAUUGAUGAUAUAUUAUUUCGUAUCGGUUCAUAGUAUGACAUAACAUUUUGAGAUCUCAUCACUUUAUUAUUUUCAGGUACCUGAACCUCUCAUAAGGUUUCAUGAAGUAUUAUGCGUGGAUUCUUCAAGAGCACAUUGCCUUCUUAUUAUGAUUAUUUGCUCCUUAUCCUUUUCAAGAAUUAUUUUAUUUGGAACCGAUUGAUCUACCAUGCUUCACGCUUGCAUAGGCUUUGUCUUUUAUGAACACAAAAUAGGAACACUUGCAGCUUAAAUAUGAGAUGCGUUCGGCAUUUGACUAGAAUUAUCUUUUGAAUGACGAUCUGAUGAUAAUUCCUAACAUAUUUCUUAGCUGCUUAUAAUCUCCCCCUUAUGUUAGGAAAACUAACAUACAUCCUCCUUCUUCUUUGAGGAAUCCAUCUUUGUGUAUCAUGGUAUAUUCAUUAAUCGUAUACCGCACAUUAAUAUUAGAUGGACAACGUGUGAUUCCUGACUUAAAACCAACUUUGAGGGGAAAUUAAUCAUAAUUUAUUGGUUUGAUGCAUACAAGUACUUUUCUAUAUAAUAUUUCAAACCAACACAUUAAGCUUUUGUUCUCAAUGGUUUAACUAUUUAUUGAAGGCAUUCGAUGUUAAACUAUGAUCAUCAAGAUGAAUUGUCUUGAUUGCACAAUUUGAAAGUUUUGCUCUUAAACUCAAUUUUAUUGAGCAAACAACUUUAUGAAUGUCAAACUGUAGGUUGACAAUAAACGCACAUGUGAUCAUUUUAUAUUGAUGCAUCUUAAUAGAUCACAUGACUGGUGAACAAACCCAUAUUCACCUUUUAUACUUUUCAGAUUUUAAGGGAUCCAAUCUCAAUAUUAGUUGGUCCAACCAACUUAUUAUGAGAACAAACAAAAUUAAAAGUAAUGAAGAGUUUUUUAAUUAUGCACAUCUUUGGGAUAUCACAAUCGUUCAUAUCAAUUUAUGAAUUCUUAUACUAGUAAACUCCAAGUUUACCAUGACAUAUACCUUUUUUCUUUAGUAAAUUUUAGAUUUACUAUUAUAUGAAAAAAUUUCAGAUUUACUACUUCAGAAGUAGAUUUCACAACAACUUUUCUCUUCGGAGGUGAGUUGUGAUACCAUCACAAUCAAGUGCACGUUUGCAUUAAUAAGCUUCUCAUUCCCCAGGAAUGGAAUAUAAUCAUGCCUUAAGCGUAUCAAAUUAUGAUAGCUACUAUAAAAGCAAAUUAAGGCAUACAUAUAAUUUAUUGCUACCACAUUCAAUUCAAGGAAUGGAACAUAUUUGAUGGGACAUGUUUCACCAAAUACUUAUUAUUUUGCCUUAGCCAUUAUAAUAUCAUCAAUAUGGUGCAUUGAGGUUCAAACUCAAUGUCUUAUCCAUAUAAAGACGUCUUAGGCAUAAAUUCAUGGGAAUUGAACCCAACAUAUUAUCAUCUUUUUUGAUAAUAUUGUUUUUAUAAAUAAAUUUAAAAUAUAAAUGGUUCCAAACCAAUUAUUCUUUUUUCCUCAAAUCCAAUAAUAACUAUAUCAUUUAGUAGCAAAAGACAAAUAACAUAAGAAAUUACUAACCUUGAUAUUACCUUUAGAUUAAUAAUCUCACCUUGUUUGGUAGAGUCUCGUGCUUGAAAUUACUUUUAGAUAAAUUACCUUUAGAUUAAUAACUUCAGCUUGUUUGGUAGAAUCUCGUGCUAAUAACAUGUUAUGAAGUAUAAAGAAGGAACAAGAAGAAAUAGAAAGAGAAAAGGGAGACUUCUUUAUUGGAUGAGAGAUCAUAAGAUUGAGAAUACAAUGAACAAAACCUCUUUAUUUAUAAGAGAAAAUACUCCUAAUUUCUGACUAAAAGUUAGAUACUUCAAAUCCUGAUAGAUAUCAAUUAGAUCUUAUUAGAUCUUGAUAGACACUCACUAUAAUGUAAAUACAUUUAUAACAUAUAUAUAUAUAUAUAUAUAAGAGAUCAAUAGUCAAUCCUAUUUAUCUUUUUUUUUUAUGGUUUUUUUAGAUAUUUUUUGAGUUUUCUCCUUAUUUGAAAUAUUUGUAUGUUCAAAGAAAAAUCAAAAGUCACCACAUGCAUUUAAACUCAAUUUACUACUCCAUCCGUCCCAAAUUGAGAUGACACAUUGAUUAAGAAAAAUAAUUAAUAACAUAACUAGUUUACCAUAGUACCCCUAUUAAAUGAUGUUUACAUUUUAAUUUGAAGACAAAGUAAUUAAUGCAAAGGGUAAACACAUGAAAAAAAUUUGUCUCUUCUUGAUUAAUGAAAAAAGACAAGUAAAAUGAGAAAUCAAAUUAGAAAAUUUUGGACGGAGGGAGUAUGUAAUAAAAGAAAAAAAAUGUUUGAGGUAACUCAUCUAUUUAAUUUUUACUAAUAAUAUUUGUAACUCUCAAGCUAUUCAUGAUUUUAUAUUUAUAACCCCUAAAUAUUUAAUACAAAAGUCAAUGAUACUUUAUGGUAUUCCUUUAUUUUUAUGUAUAUAAAUUCAUAUUUUUUGUUUCAUGAGAUGCUAUCCAAGUUAUCCUUCAUUUUCACUAUUUUAUUCAUGCUUUUGUUUUUCUUGAAAAGAAGAAGAAGACUAGGCUUGUGAAAGUAGAUAUCGAGACAUUUAUGUAUUCAUUCCGUUUUUCUUUUUAUAGAAGUUCAUAUGUUUUAUUUCAUGCAAUUUUACCCUUUAUUUUCACUAUAAUGUUUAUGUUUUUAUUUCACUUUUAAAAAAAGAAGAUGCUCUUAAAUGGUGAAAGUCUUGUAGAAGUGGAUAUGACAAGAGUUAGAAUAUUUGAUUUCAGCUUUCUUUUAUAUUUUUCAACUAAUGAUUAAAAAUAUAAUAAUAUAUGUAUUGUCUUAUUUCUAUAUCUAUAUAUGAUGCCUCUUAAGUUCAGUUUUUAAGUCUAUAAUUUCUUUUGGUUAAAUGAAUAACUUUGUAGUUGGAAAUUUGCUAAUAUUUAUUAAGUUUCUUAAUUUAUAAUUGAUUUUUUUUUAGGUUUGUGGAAGUACAUACCUAGACAUUAAUGUAUUCAUACAUACCUAGACAUUAAUGUAUUCAUUUCGUUUUUCUUUCUAUAAAAGUUCAUAUAUUUUAUUUCAUGCGAUUUUACCCAAGGUUAUCCUUCAUUUUCACUAUGAUAUUUAUGUUUUUAUUUCAAUUGAAAAAGAAGAAGAUGCUCUUAAAUGAUGAAAAACUUGUGGAAGUGGAUAUCGGCAAGAGCUUGGAUAAUUAUGCAUUGAUUUCGUCUUUUUUUUUUUAAAUUAAUGAUUAAAAAUAUAAUAAUACGUGUAUUUUCUUAUUUCUGUAUCUAUAUAUGAUGCCUCUUAAAUUCAAUUUUUAAGUCUAUAAUUCCUUUUGGUUCAAAUGAAUAAUUUGUAGUUGAAAAUUUACUAAUUAUUAAUUAAGUUUCUUAAUUUAUAAUUGACUUUUUUAGCUGACUAGCUUAUUUCCAUUAAUCAUAUGUAAAACAAUACAAAGCAACCAACAUCCAUUGAUAGCUAAAUAACUUUUAAUAAUUGAAAUAUAUUCGUUAUUUGGUCUUAGUUAUAAUUAUGUUUUAGGACUAUCAAUAAAUAUGCAUGACAUAAAAUUUGAGAAAUAUAAAGAAACAUGGAGGCGAGGGAGGAAAAUGAGGUAAUUAAUUCUAAAAAAUCUAUAUACACAAAAAAAAGAACCAUUUAUGUUUUAUUCAUUUCUUUUUUUUCUUUUUAAUUUUAAAACAUAGUGUAUUUAUCUAAUUUAUUUUUAAAAAAACUUAUACACUUAAAAAAAACCUUUAUGUUUUUUUUUAUUUAUUUUUUUAAUUUCUUUUUAACUUUGAGAAAUAGUGUAUUAUCUGAUUUAUUUUUAAUCAUUAUAAUUACAAGAAUGAAUAUUUUGCUCUUCACCUUCUAAAGUAGAUGAUUACAUAUUGUUAACAUAUUUACUCCAUGAAUUGUACGUCUAUUAUUUUAAGAAGCGAUUGAGUCGGUGUAAUUUUUUUUUUUCUUGUAAAGAUCUAUCUAUCUAUCUAUCUAUCUAUCUAUCUAUUAUUAUUAUUAUUAUUAUUAUUACUAUUACUAUUACUAUUACUAUUACUAUUACUAUUACUAUUACUAUUACUAUUACUAUUACUAUUACUAUUACUAUUAUUAUUAUUAUUAUUAUUAUUAUUAUUAUUAUAACCGAGUGAAGUGCGGAUAAAUUAACUAGUAUGACAAUAAUGCAAAUGUCACUCAACAAUUGUCACGUUCAGAGGAUAGGUACAUUUUUGUCAUCGAACUUCAUCGAAGGUCAUUCUUUUUUACAAUCAUGGUCCGGCGAUCUGACCUAAUUUACCUUGCCUCGACUAAGGUGCCAAAUAAUUUUAUCCAUCAAAACUUGGACAAAUGAUAAGAAAUCAGUGAUGUUUUUGCCUCCAUUGAAAAUCGAACCUGAAACCAGUGAAAAUUAAACCUGAAACCUCAUGAUUCUUAAUUUACUUCGUUAACUACUAGGUCACACCCUUCUGGGUGUUUCAUAAGGUCAUUCUCACUCAGGCUGAAGGUAAGCUCUUGGCUAUGGAUGUGUAUCCAUAUACAGUUAAAAAGGAAAAAUUACUAAGAUAUAUAUAGUAAAGUGAUUGCUUUAGGCUCUAAAAUUUUGAUGCCCCAAAAAAUUUAAUAAUAAAUUUUAUGAUUUUUAAUUUCACUCAAAACAAUAUUGAAGAUCGUAAAACAUAAAAGUUCAAAAAAUAUAUAAAGAAGAAUUAUCCACUUUUUAUAAAAAAAUAUUUUAGAACUUUGAAUUAAAUAACUCAAAUCUUCAUAUUAAUAAAAUAAAAUUUUUACAACAACAUCAAGUUAAUAUAUUGCAAACAAAUAAUGACUAACAUUUUAUUAUUUAGAAUUAAUCCUUACUUUUAUAAUAAUAAGCAUAUUAAUAAUAAUAGUAUUAAAAAAUUUAAUGCAUUUUAAUAAUACUAGAAUUUCUAUUAAAAUUUGACUUUAACUCACUUAGUUAAUAUCCUUGCAACUGAAUGAUCAAAAACAUUUUGCAUACUUGCAAAACAAUGGGCUAAAGAAGAACAAAUUACUAAAGGUUAAAAACCAGCAAAACUAAACGACUAUAUACACUCUUUAUACAAAGUACAGAUAAUCUUUACCCACACAAAUAAAGGGGUAUGAAGGAAGUUAAGUCUGAAAGAAAAAAAAAUCAAAAUCCAUCACAGAAUUCGAAUAUGUGACCAUAAAUUAAGAAAAGAAAAAGAAAAAAAAAAGAAAGUAAAAACCUUAAAUGUCAAUGAAGUUAUCAACUAUAUUCUCUUUCAAUUAAUUACCUGCCAACUUUUUCUUUGUGGUCCAUCUUUUUCUGCACGCGUCUAUUGCCUCCAGCUUCAUUCUUGCGAGUUCUUGAAAGCAUUGUUGAUAUUGUGAUUCAAUUGUAUCAAGCUCUAACUUUAACUCGUUGUCUUGAUCAUCUUUCUCUACUAACGAUAAAAAUGAACAAUUGCUGGACAAACUCAUGCGUUUAGAAUCUCUAUCUGUAUCCGUCAAGGUCACCUCCAGAUUCAGAUUCUUUCCAAAUUCAUUUGAUAAUAUGCAGUCUACAUAAUCGCCACCAUUUCCAUCGUCAUGAAACACGCCCAUGAACUCUAGCUCUGAUAAGUUUCCACUAGAACCUUUAGAGAUUAUAUCUGCACAUGUAAAGUAGUCCCCAAAUCCAAAUGAAUUCUUUGCAGAAGAAUCUUUUUCCAUUACUUCAGUAGCAGAUGAACCUUGACACUCUCCAUCUAUCACAUUUUCCAAAUGUGACGGGGAAGCAAAAGUAACGUGACAAGAAGUGCCAUUUGAAUUCGCAUACAAUUUAUCUUCAUCAGCUCGAUGAGUACUACCAAUUUGGUUAUUCAUAUUGAGAACUGGAAUAUCAUCUUGCUGAGCAUUAGAUGUGGUAGUGAUGGGCGACAAGGUGAGGUAGUUCUCUAUAGAUUCUUCUCUUUGGCUUCUCCCUCCACUAGAAAAAUAAUCAGAAGGCUUCCAACUAGGCAAAAUUUUCAUUAUUAGAUAGUCAAUGAAGUCAGCAAUAAAAUCUACAUCAUGAUCAGCUAGUUCCAAAUGUUCAACCAUCUCCGCUGCAACUAAGAGUGCAGUGUCAGUAUAAAGAUAAAAGUUGAAGUGUAUAUUCCUUAUUCUGCCUGCAAAAUUCGAAGGCUUUAGAUAAACAAAGAGCCAAUUUUAUUCCGAAAUGUCAAAAGAAGAAAAAUAAGUAAUGAAUUAGAACGCAUCUAUGUACCUGAAGGGCUUUUAAUUCGCAAGGUCAGUGAAAUUGAGUUCUCAUCCUUCUUCUUACCUGUCAAUUUAAAUUCAUUAUUCUGAUGAAACCUCUGAAAUUCCAAUGUCGGAGCACAAGGACUUCCACAAUGGGAGUCUGUAUAAACUGAUUGAUUAUACUCGGAAUCUACAUCCAUUGAAUGAGGUGCAGAUUUCAAUGAACUUAAUGAUCUUGGACUUUGGUAAGGUGAAAGCAAAAGACUAUGCGUUGGCUCACUUAAAUUCUCAGUCUGAAGAAACGGAUCUUUGAGAAGGUCCUUGGCAGGCAACCUCAGAGAAACAGGAACCAGGCAUUUCUCGAUGAAUGCUUUGAUUUGGGGAUCAGUAACUUUGCCGAGGGAAGCAGGUUUAACACCCUGAGAAUAAAUAAAGUUCCUUAGAUUCACUAAAACAUGUAAUGCCUACACAACUUAAAGAAACAACUUUAUCAAACUUACUGAGCUAACUUUCUUAAAAAUUUGAGCAGGAUUUUUGCAUUCACUGUAAGGAUAUUCAAAGGUUACUAGUUCCAACAUACACAUGCCGAAGGAAUAUAUGUCAACCAGUUCAUUGUAUUCUUCUUCGUAAAGCUCCGGGGCCAUAAAUUCCGGGGUCCCUUCAGAGGAAUAGAUAAAGUUAGCAUUUUUGAAUAGGGAACAUUAUUUCAAAGUAUGUCGAUACAAGAAGUACCCGUACCAAUGACACUCUUAACAGUAGGCUGCUCCAUAAUGGUAGCCAAUCCAAGGUCCCCAAUCUUAAUUUCUCCAGUAUUUCCAUUGACAAAUAUGUUGUCACACUUCAAGUCCCUAUGAAUGAUGGGAGGGUUCUGACUGUGAAGAUAGUCUAACCCUUGAAGUAUUUGCCUUGCCCAAUUCUUUAUUGCCUUCAUAUCAACGCUUCUAUACUUCUUGCGGUAUCUGAUAAGUAUAAUUUACAUAUUUAUUGUAUGACAACACAAUUUGUAAGCAAAGAAAAUGAGGAACUAUGAGAAACUCACUGCCUUAAGUUCCCAGAUGUGAAGAGUUCAGUGAUCAUGUUAACUGUUCUCUUCUUGCCAUCAACCCAUGAAUCACAGAACUUCAUUAUAUUGUCAUGCUUCAAUUUUCUAAGAAGAUGCAUCUCCGCAUAUAACUUUCCCAAAUUGUUAGGUGAUUGCAAAACAUCCUCGACUUUCACUCGGCUCCAUGCAACUUCAAUACCAUCAAGUAAGUCAAAUGCCUUGUAGCUGAAACACAAUUUAAAAGUAACCAAAAAAAAAGACAAAAUGCUUUAUGCUCUGAAUACACAAUUAGUGCUAGAGAAAGGAACGAUAAAAAUCAGCAAUAAAGUUUAGGAACAUACACAGUCUUGAAUGCUCCCUUGCCCAACACCUCACUGUACUGUAGAGGAAAAAUAAGCAGGUGACAAAUAUAAAUGACUGUCAGUGAAAUAACCGGAAGUUUUCAGUGCUAAAUAGCAAAAGAUUACAAUUUUGUCUUGAUAUUCAGACUUCUUAAAUCUUCUGUUUGGAAGCAAAAAGGCUACUUAAGUUGCUAAAGAUAGAAUUCAGCCUCAACUAAUUGAUCAACAUCUUCAAAUCCAUCUAGUGGAGUGUUGCCAUGCUAGUGAAAUGGGAUUACACAAACUGAUCGAACCAUCUUCAAACUUCAAAAGUUCGCUACGCUAAUCAAGAAGCAAAACUAGAUGGUAGAGUUUGUGUGUUUCACGGAGAUGAAAUCUUGCAACAGAAAAUCAUAAUUAUGUUUAUGGCUUAACAAUUAUGCAGAAGGACCAAAAAUCCAAAUCAACUUAAGAAGAAACGAAUUGUGAGAAGUGAUUGUUCACCUCUGCGCUAAGACCACCUCAAAGCAUCUAUGUUGAGUAUAAUGUGCUAUGCUAAAACGGGAAAUGAGUUUUGCAACUAGACAUAAUUUAUGAAACAGAACAAGGAAAAGAAAUCGAAGCAUAAAUUAAUGUAAACAAAUGGGCUUUAAUCCGAUGACAAUAUAAAUCCUUAAUUUUGGACCGUUUGCAUUCCAGUAACACUCUAGAAAUGAAGCAAUAAGUAACACUAAAAAUAAUUAAUAGAGAGUAAAGUGAAUUACCCGAACAUAUCGACCCGUAGGGUCUUUCUCUACAUAAUCGGCUUGGUUAACGGGUCGAUCAUUAGCAGAUGAACCAAAAAAUCCACCGUGGUUACUCGAAGAAUGUCGCAAAGGGCUUUCAACUCUAACUCCAUUUCCAGAAUGAUAAGAAGAUCCCGAUCCAGCCCCGAAACUCAUUCCGGUAAUCAACCAAACAAUAAAAAGGAAGGAAGAAUAAGGAAAAGUAAAAACACGAAGAACAAAGACAACCCAAAGCAGGCAGAAAUUGGAGGAGGAAAUCAGGAUAUUCAAAUAAUGUUUCUGCUGCCUAGACAAAGAUAAGAUGAUGACCACAAGUUUGCAUGUCGAUGAUAAAUGCCUCGUAAAAUGAGAAUGCCGAUCGCGUGUGGAACAAUCUUCGACGUGAUCGGCAUUCAAAUUCGAGGCUAAACAGCUAAUAAUGCAUCGAGAUCCAAUAAAAUUCGUUACAACGACAGUACUGAAAUUGUUGUCAUCCUGAGUUUCACAUUACUCCAUUAUCACCUCCUUCUUCUUCUUGAUGAUAUGUAUACAUAUAUAUCUUCCUCAUGCAAAAUAUUCCAUGCAGCUAUGCAUGAAUAUAAUUAAUUAACCCUUCCAAAUGAAAGUUUAUUAAUAAUAAUAAGAUAAAGAAGGGCUAAAGAUGAUAGGAGGAAAAAAGAAAAAGUAUAAAACUAUAGAUAAGAAGAAGAUCGCUAAUAUAUGAGGAUAGACAUGGAGGUAAAAUCUUUUUAACUUUUUUUUUUUUUUUUUAAUUAGCAAAAGAGGAAAGAGAAAGAGAAAAUGUAUUGAGUUUAGGGAUAUGUGGAAUUUUGGUUUAAGAUGGGAGAAGAUAAUGCUCCAACGAACACUUGUUCCGUUAAUGUUUGCUGGAUCUAUUAGCAAUUUAUGUAAACGUGAUUUUGGCUGGGUUAAAUAUGACUGAUCACUAUAUAUAAGUAAUAUAGUUUGCAAUUUUUAACAAUAUUUUGAAUUUUGCAGGAAAUAUCUAAUAUUUUUAUUUUAAAUAUACGAAGAGUACCUAAAUUCUACUUUUAAAUGAGUCUGUAGCAAGAAUUUCACAUGUAUCUUUUAUUUGGGAAAAAGAUAAAAAUGACCACUGAAUUUUAUUUUUAUUUUCUAAUCAUUUGUUGGCAGCUUUAUACAAUCCUCAUACAAAUUAGAUAUAUAUUUUAUACAAAUAUGUUUCUAUACAAUAAAGAUACAAUUUCUAUAUAUAUCUUAUACAUAUAUCUAUUUUAUACAAAUUUUAUGCACAUCAUAUUAAAAAAUACAUAUUUUAUAUAACAAUGAGAUAAUUUUUAAGCAUAAAUUCAUUGCUUUAUUUUUUUUUACGAACUGUAUCAGUAUGGUAUAUGGUGUAUCAAUGUAAUAUAUGAACUGUAUCUGAAUUACCUGUGCCAAAGUGACUUAAAUGAUGAAAUGGUCAUAAUAUGAAAUUUGUUUGGGCAUUAUGAAAUAUGAAAUAACUGAUGUGUGUUAUGUAAAUAUAAUUUUUUUAAAGCUAAAUAUCCGUACUUGAAUUCUACUAUGUACAUGACAUUAAUGAUAAUCACCAUAAAUAUUUUGAUAUUUUAUUUUGUACAUAAUAUAUUUCGUACAAAAUAUGAUUACAUAAUAUUCGAAUGUGCUAUUAUAAAGAGCUAAUUUACAAAGAGUAUACCACUAUAAUAAACACCAUUACUUUUAAACUAGAAUGCCGUCAUAGAAAAAUAAAAUAUAAUAUAAGAAAUCAAUUUCGAAAAAAAUCAAACUACUACACUAAAUUUCAUUAUAACGAGAUCAUCUUUUCUGGAUAAUAUACUUAAUGAAAUGACAAAUAAUUAUGGGCAAAAUUCAGAAAUAACAUACCCAUCCCCUUAAUUAUGAGUUUCAUAGCAACAGUUUCAUAAUUACAUAAUAUAGUAAGUUGAAUUUUGUAUUUUUGCAAACUAUUGCUACAAUGUACAGUUAUAUAAUUACAUAAUAUAACAAGUUAAAUUUUGUAUUUUUGCAAGCUGUUGCUACAAAAAUACAAAUACAUAUGAUUUUUAGUGUUCUUAUAAUCGAUAUGUAUUUUAUAUUUUUGUAGGAUAUGUAUUUUAUAUUUUUGUAAACUGUUACUACAAAAAUACAAAUACAUACAAAUAUAUAUAUUACAAAAUGUAAUUUGAUAAAAAUAUUACUAUAUUUUAUAAUUUAAUAUUUAAAUAUGUUACUUUAUGUAUUUUUUCCGGAAAUUAUUGCUACCAAAGUUCGACUAGAGAUUUAUCACCGUUAUAUUAACAUAAUUUAAUUGAUAUCUGUGAUGUGACAGUGACAAAAGCGGUAAGUGUCUCACGAGUAGGCAGAGAAUGCCAAAUCUUUGAUCUCAUCACUAACUAACAAAUAGUUCUAUAAUUAUAAGCUGAAAACAACGAACAGGUGUCGUGGUGUAGUUGGUUAUCACGUCAGUCUAACACACUGAAGGUCUCCGGUUCGAGUCCGGGCGACGCCAUUUCAUUUUAGCUUUAAUCUAUAUUAGUAUUUCUUUUUCCUCCAUCACAAUCUUUUGAAUUGAAUUCCAUGUUAGUUUCCAUUUUAAGCAACUGUAACUGAUAUUUGAUUCUACUUUUAUCCGUUCUCCAUCACUAUCUUUUGUUUCCAUUUUAAGUCAACUGUAACUAAUAUUUGAUUCUACUUUUAUCCUUUCUCCGUUCAAAUUCCGGCAGGAAUAGAUAUGGAAAGGAAGUACAAUAUCAGAAGCCGAGGGAAAGCAGACUUAGCCGGUAUAUUACGGAAAUCGUGGUAUCAUUUAAGGUUGUCGGUACGACAUCCGGCGAGGGUUCCGACAUGGGACGCAAUCGUGCUUACGGCGGCGAGCCCUGAACAAGCUCAGCUCUAUGAAUGGCAGCUUAAGCGAGCUAAACGCAUGGGUCGGAUUGCUGAUUCCACCGUUACCCUUGCUGUUCCUGAUCCCGAUGGCCAGCGAAUCGGUUCUGGUGCUGCAACUCUUCAUGCCAUUUUGGAACUUGCUAAACAUUAUCAAGAAAUUUCUCUCGAUUCUCAGGUAACAUAUUUGAUGCAAUGCAUUUGGAUCCAGGAUUUUAAAGGCAUGGUGUAUGUAUAUGUAAAGUUCAAUUUUUUCCUUAUUCACAUGAUCAGUGUGAAUUUCAGAUAAUUUAUACACUUGUUUGUAUGCAGAAUGCGGGUAUUAGUCAAAGUUGUUGGAAAACACUUGUCCUAUUCAGGCCUUAUCACUAAGCCUAUAUAUUUGAGAUGCAUCGGGCGAAAUCCCUCCAUCUCCACAGUUUAUUACUAAUGAAUUUUGAAUUAGAGCGACAUUUUUGUUAUUUACCAGUGACACCUCCAAAUGCUUAAGUUAUAAUUGCCUCAUUGGACAUACUGCACCAGUUUUUGCACGCUUUAUCCCACCAAUCUUCAUCCAGAAACUCUGUGGAAUGUGGGUUGAGAAAGCUUAGUUUGAUAUAAACUCGAUGCAAAUCAUGAGUCUAUACAAGAUAAGCACAUGAAUUUUGAGAAUUAGGUAAAUUUAUUUUCACUUGAGAAGAUUUUCAGGUAUCUCCAUUAAAUUAAAAAAGGGUGAACACUGUUCUUGAUGUCGUUGUUUGAAUUCCCAAGCUAAUUCUUGAUUUUAAAUGGAUCACUAAGCCAAGUUCUAAUUUCAUAUAAGGCCGAUAAGGCAUAUGCCUUAGGUCCCCAAUUUUGGGGGGACCAAAUUUUACCAAGAAUAUUAUUUGGCACUUUUAGUUUUGAAUCUAAGUAGUAAAAAGGCAUAACUCAACAAAUUAAAACUAAUGCAAAAACAUUUACUUCAUAGUAAUAGUCUCUUAUGCUCAUCAAACUAUUCCAAGAAACAAAAGUCCCAACAUUUAAACAAUGUCUGGUAGUUUGAGUUUAACUAUCAAGUCUGUUGAAUAGGACCAUCCUUCAUAAUUUUAAGCUUACUUUAGUUUCCUUUUACUCUAGAUGUCUAACUCACACGCAUGUUUAACAAAAAUAUAAUAUAUGUGAAUUUAAUUUUUUGUAAAAAUUAAUUGAUAUGAGAUGCACGUGCGGCACACGGAAUGCACAUGCGACACACAGAAUGCACGUGUGGUGCACACAAAAGCUAGUUUUAUUGAAUGUACUUGAGACAUCUUAUUAAGAUUUGACUUUAGGUUCAUACUAUUAAAGACCAUCACACAAGUGUUUCUUCCUAUCUUUUUUGGAUAUGAUUUUGGCAUACAUCAACAGGGAGCAGGUGUAACUUUGUAAUUAAAUCACUUGCUUCUCUUUGAUACAGUGCGGAAGUUCUCAGAUGAAAGAACCUUCUUCAUCAUAUAUCUACUUGAUUGCCAAAAAACACGUCUUAUUGCUUCAUGCUGGAGGUGAUUCUAAAAGGGUACCAUGGGCAAAUCCUAUGGGGAAAGUGUUUCUCCCACUUCCUUAUUUGGCAGCUGAUGACCAAGACGGACCAGUUCCCCUGCUCUUUGAUCACAUCCUUGCUAUUGCAUCUUGUGCAAGACAAGCUUUUGAGAAUGAAGGUUCUUAGCCCUAUCAAAUAAUCAAUAUGCAUAACCAGUGAUACUUAUUUUCAAUAAAAUAAUUGAUUAAUUUUCUUAUAUUCUUUUUCUUUUAAAGAACAUAGUCUAUAUUCUUUAUGAGACACCGCUUUGAGCAGAGUUAAAGUAUUUUUGCAGGUGGAAUGCUUACAAUGACCGGAGAUGUUCUUCCUUGUUUUGACGCCUCAAUUAUGGUUCUGCCAAAGGAUGCGUCCUGUAUUGUGACCGUCCCUAUUACUCUGGACAUUGCUUCCAAUCAUGGUGUUAUAGUGGCAGCAAAAUCUGGGAUUUCAAAUGAUACCUAUUCCCUCAACUUGGUGGAGAAUCUGCUUCAGAAACCUUGCUUGGAUGAGCUUGUCAGACACCAAGCUAUUCUGGAUGAUGGUAGAACAUUGCUUGAUACUGGAAUAAUAGCAGUUAGAGGUCAGGCAUGGUUAAAUCUGGUAAAACUUGCGUGUUCGAGCCAAUCAAUGAUCUCAGAACUUCUGGAAAAGAAAAAAGAGGUUAGUGAUCAUUCAUUAGUGGCUUUACUCAACUCUUUUUUGUAUUUCCAUGUACCAGUAUCUAAUACUUGGAAAUGUCUACUCUUCUCUAAGAAGAAGUAUUCUACGCUUAUUGCAACAAGUUUAUCAGACUAGAUAAUUGAUUCUUCAUUUGAUGCACAGAGGUGCAUUUUUCACAAAAGCAUGCUUUUCGUUAGGCCAAAGAGUGAAUUAUUGAACUUUUCAUUCUUCUCUCUGUUAAAUGUUCUGUAGUUUUAGCAAAAGCUCUUCAAGCAACUGCGUGUAGAGGCAUUUGAAUCUUUUAAUAUCUUGUCCUAGGAUUAUUCGCAUAUAAGUUGGAUAUUUUCUUGGUGGCUAGUUUCUGAAGAUGCAGUAAUGGAUGUUUUAAUAUAGCAUGGACAUAUCCUCUAACUCGAUUUUUAUUUCAGCCUGUGAAGCAACAAAAAUUUAAUAUAGAAUGAAAUUAUAUCAUCCUGUACUUUUUUUUGUUUCCUUCAUCCUGAUGUAUUGUUAAUUCCCUAAUGACCUUUUUCUUCUUGAGCUCCAUUUUAACAUUUGUCAUAUAUCUUAAUUUAUGCAUUGUUUCCCUAAUCUGGAUGCUUUAGACAUACAACCAUUUCAGUAAACCUAUUGGGGUUGAUUUUGUUGUUUCUCAAUUAAUCUUAAGUUUGACAUACCUUGGCUCCAUACAUUGCAGAAAAUUCUUGUCUUUCUUGCAAUAGUGUCUGUACUUCUACUUUGUUUGUAUUCGCACAGUGAAAAGAAGUUACUCUUCCUGUUACCAAAAGUGAUCUUUUGGUUUUGUUAUUUCCAUUCAAGUGGGUUUUGAUCUAUGUAGGUGAGUUAAUUUUUUUACUUCUGUUAUUGGGCAGAUGAGUUUGUAUGAAGACCUUGUAGCUGCUUGGGUACCAGCAAAGCACGAAUGGUUGCGAUCCCGCCCUUUGGGUGAUGAACUUGUAAACAAAUUGGGAGAACAAGAGAUGUUCAGCUAUUGUGCUUGUAGGUUGAAUGUUGUUGACUGUGUGAUGAUGUUAGUAAUUUCCUAAGUCAUUGCAUAUUUUCAAAGUCUGCUUCCUUGUUUCUUGUGUGUAAAGAAGCAUUAACCUAAAUAGCCGUCCGCCCAUCUCCUUUAACUAAAUAGCCGACGGAUGUAAAGUAUAUUUUUUCAGUUCUUUCUUAAAAAUAUUAUGUUGAUCUUUUGCUUAACUACUAAGGUUAGUUCUAAUCCUUUUUUUUAAAGAAAAAAAAAAAAGAAUAGCACUCGUUUGAAAUGCAUUCCAGAAAUACAGGAGUCGUGGGUUGAUUAAGAAGUUGUCUUAAUGAAAUCACUUAAUCAUAUAGCGAAUUUAUCCAAAUGGGAAUGUCCAGGUCUUAAUUUCUUGAAACAUAUGGGAUUGCUUAUCCAUCUUGGAGCUCGAUUCAUAUGUACCUAUACUAAAAGCCAUGAAUGCAUAAGCAACUGUAUGUCAUUAUUUGCAUUUAUAGUUCAGAAGUCACUUACUAGUUAAGUAGAUCUGAAUACUAUAUAUUUUAGGACUCUAUUAUUUGAAAAUGCUAGAGGAGUUUCACUGAAUCAAACUUGAUUAAAGAACUAUGGAUCAAAACAGUAUUAUUCAUAUAAAAUAUCUACUGUUGCACUCUAUGGAAAAUUUAACUGUGCAUUUACCAUGCUUGUGAUACAUAUAAAUUGAUUUUUAGAAUUAAACUAAUCUUCUUCUCUUGAGUUUGAUGCAGAUGAUCUAUUAUUCUUACAUUUUGGAACAUCUAGUGAAGUUCUGGACCACAUGAGUGAAACUGGUGCUGGACUUGUUGGUCGGAGGCACCUGUCUUCUAUUCCCGCAACCAAUGUCUCUGAUAUUGCUGCCUCAGCUAUUAUCCUUUCCAGUAAAAUAGAGCCGGGAGUCUCUAUAGGAGAAGACUCUCUCAUUUAUGAUUCCUUCAUUUCAGGUGGUAUACAGAUUGGUUCCCAGUCUAUUGUUGUUGGUAUUCAUGUGCCAGCAGCCAGUGAUAUGACAGAAAAGGUUCCAUUCAGAUUUAUGCUUCCAGACCGCCACUGCUUUUGGGAGGUUCCUUUAGUGGAACGCACAGAGAGAGUUAUCGUGUACUGUGGCAUCCAUGAUAACCCAAAGAUUCUACUCUCAAAUGGUACCUUUUGUGGGAAACCCUGGAGGAAGGUUUUAGAUGAUCUAGGCAUUCAAGAUACUGAUCUGUGGACCUCAGAGAAAACUCGGGAAAAAUGCUUAUGGAAUGCCAAAAUAUUCCCUGUUCUUCCGUACUUUGAAAUGCUCACUUUGGCAUCAUGGUUAAUGGGCUUGGACAACCAAAGAAAUGAAACCCUGUGUUCAUCAUGGAAGAGGUCCCAGCGGAUCAGUUUGGAGGAGUUGCAUAGAUCCAUCAACUUUCCACAGAUCUGUUUAGGUUCGAGUAAUCAUCAGGCUGAUUUAGCUUCAGGGAUUGUCAAUGCUUGCCUUAACUUUGGCUUACUUGGCCGCAACUUAAGUCAGUUAUUGCAAGAGAUUCUUCAAAAGGAAUCAACUGGAAUUGAAGUUUGCAAAGGAUUUCUAUCCCGCUGCCCAAAGCUUCAAGCUCAAAAUUCAGCAAUCCUUCCUAAGAGCAGGGCAUAUCAAGUUCAUGCUGAUCUUCUACGAGCAUGCGGCAAUGAAGAGAUGGCACUUGAAGCUCAGCAAAAAGUAUGGGCUUCCGUUGCUGAUGAAACUGCUUCUGCUGUGAGAUACGGGUUCAAAGGUAAAAUGGCAUGUUGAAAGUUGUUACAAAGAAUGACCAACUAAAUCCAAGAACUGUUUUUUCUAUGACCUGUUAACUUAUUUUUCUUGAUCUAUCUUCCCAGCUGGUACUCUUUUGACAGGACAGUCUAGUGCUUCUUUGUUCUUCUUCCUCUCCCCUUCCCCCCAUUCUUUUUCUUUCCUUUAUUUCAAUUGUUUACACAUAUGCUGUAAAUACAAUUUUUUAAUGAAAUGCUAUUUCUUUAUCAGAAAACUUAGCAGGGUCUUCCAGUUGGUUUUCUAUCACAGCAAAUCCUGGUAAUACUAAUGGUUGUUGUGGUGAAUCUUUCCACCAUAAGACGGUGAAGAUUGAACUACCAGUUCGAGUGGAUUUUGUUGGGGGUUGGAGUGAUACACCUCCUUGGAGUUUAGAGCGUGCUGGUUGUGUUCUGAACAUGGCAAUAACAUUAGAAAAUUCUCUUCCUGUUGGCACAGUCAUAGAGACAGAAAAAGGGACUGGGAUAUUUGUUAGUGAUGAUGUUGGAAACCAGUUAUCAAUUGAAGAUCUAUCAUCUAUUUCCCUUCCAUUUGAAACCAGUGAUCCAUUUCGGCUUGUAAAAUCUGCAUUGCUUGUAACCAAUGUUAUCCAUGCAAAGAUCCUUCAAUCAGUGGCCUUGCGAAUUAGGACUUGGGCCAAUGUUCCUAGGGGUAGUGGCUUGGGAACUUCCAGCAUCUUAGCAGCAGCCGUUGUUAAAGGGCUUUUACGUAUUACUGAUGGAGACGAAAGUAACGAAAAUGUCGCAAGACUUGUUUUAGUCCUAGAACAGCUCAUGGGCACAGGAGGUGGUUGGCAAGAUCAAAUUGGAGGUCUAUAUGCUGGCAUUAAAUUUACUACAAGUUUUCCUGGAAUACCGCUGCGGCUUCAAGUCAUUCCCCUCUUGGCUUCUUCGCAGUUAAUAAAGGAGUUGCAGCAACGGCUCCUUGUAGUUUUCACUGGUCAAGUAAGUUGUGAACUGUAAUUAAAUUCAUUAGAAUUGUCAGUUUUUGUGUUUCAAGUUUGCAUUCAUCAUGGUGUUCAUGAUUUUCUUGGUAAUUAAUUCAUGUCCAAGUUUACACCCCUUACAAACCAACUACUACUACUUUUGUUCUAGAGUUUAUCAAUUUCAUCUGUUGACAAAUUGUCAAUGACUGUAUAUGCAGGUCCGACUUGCACACCAAGUGCUGCAUAAGGUGGUUACUCGUUACCUUCAAAGAGACAACCUGCUUGUUUCGAGUAUCAAGCGCCUCGCUGAACUUGCAAAGAUUGCUAGAGAAGCUUUAAUGAAUUGCGACAUUGAUGCCCUUGGGGACAUAAUGCUGGAGGCAUGGAGAUUGCAUCAGGAGCUUGAUCCUUUCUGCAGCAAUGAGUUUGUUGAUAAGCUUUUCGCAUUUUGCGAUCGCUAUUGCUGUGGUUACAAGCUUGUAGGUGCAGGUGGUGGGGGUUUCGCCUUGUUAUUGGCAAAAAGUGCCGAGUCAGCUGAGGAACUGAGUAGUUCACUCACGAAUAGUUCUGAUUUUGAUGUGAAAAUCUAUGGUUGGAAAAUCUUCUUGGAGAACUAGCCGAAGUUAAUUCUAUGAGUUAAUUACUACUAGCUAAGUUGCUCGGACUCUUCAAAAAUGUUCCGCACCUGUGUCGGAUCCUGCAAAAAUGAACUACUUAUGAAGGAUCCGACACGCACCCGAUGACAUUUGGAAGACUCUGAGCAACAUAGAUUACUAGUACACUACUCAUUCUUUGAUCUGUAUAUUUGAGGAUGUAAACACGUAUCCUUGCACCAGCCAAAUUAUGUAUUGUGAAUUCUUGGACUGUCAUACUGCUAUUGAAAUGCGAGUUAUAAAACAGUGAACUUACUUUCUUAAUGACAUAUACAUUUUAGUUCUAAUUAAAGAAGUCAAAAGAGUGAUGUAAGAGUAAGGAAUCAAAUUCUUAGAAGGAAAGCAAAAGCUUACUGAUGCUUUGUUUUUUGAUGGGAUCCAUUCCUUCCUUUCCUAGUUUGGCAGUAUUCAUUUAGUUGCAUCUGAAACUAUUCUUGCCGUGUCAAAGGGGCAAGGAAUUGCACCAUCAUGUUUGGAUUGUUGUUACCUUUGUAUUGUUGGUUUAAAUACCAUGCUUGUUUUAAUUGUUAUUUACAUUUUAAAGAUAAACAUUCAAUAAUGAAGAACUAUGGUUAAUAUUGCUACGACACAUUUCAACUUCACAAGGGUCCUAUUACCUCCUGAACUUAAUUGUAGCGUAAUUUUUGUCACCUUUUUGUACUUACGUGACACCUUUAUUGCAUAAAAUGAGGCCCACAUCAAACGUCAGCUGAAAAGGUUGAUCAAAGUGCUACAUCAAUUAAAAAAAAUGAUAAAAAUAUGCUAAAAUUGAAUUCAGCGGUAAUAAGACCUCGUGAAGUUGAAAUGUGUCAUAGCAAAUUUGGUUAUAGUAGAGGUACUAGAUGCUUUACUCUAAAUUUUAGUAGUAUAUCAUAUAGCUAAAUUCAUCAUUAUGUGAUAUGUCUCAGCUUAUGUAAGACCGAUUUGUUGGGAUGUGUCGUUCUUUUUUUUCCUUUUUCAUUUUGUCUUUAUUUAUUAUUUAUCCUUUUUUUUUUUACAAUGGAUCUACUCCAUACUCUACUCCCUUAUAGGUUUAUUCUUUAAAUUAUUGAUGUGUGACAUUACGUAAUGAUAGAAAACCAUAAAAUCUCUCCUGAGAUCAUAUUCAUUAAAAUAAUAUAAUACCACAUAAUAUAUUACAAUAUGAUAUAUUAUGAAAUAAUAUACUCUCAUCUUUGCGGACAAGAGAGAGGUGACUCAUAUAGUAAGCAGUCACCACCUCCAACCAUGGGCAACUCAAGCUCAUUAGUCGCCUAAAGCCAAAAAUGAAUUGGAGGACUUAAGAUUUUGAAAAUCAAUUAAUGUUUUUUUAUAUUUAAAAUUUAUUCUUUAAGAGGCAAAGUUAAUGUAUUUCUAACAAAAGUAUUUUGAGAUGUAAAAUUUUUUUUAUAUGAUUCUUUUUAUAUUUUUUUCUAUAAAUAGUACUCCUUCCAUAUUAAUUUGUAUGUUUAUUUCUUAUUUGACACGGUAUUUGGUAAAGAAAUCUUCGAAUCUUGUAUUUAUUAAAAAUAUAUAGAAUAUAUCAAAAUUUUCUUUAAUAUUAUGAUUUUAAACAUAUCUUGUGAAAAAAUAAAAAUAAAAAAUUAACAAAAACAUUUUUGUUUUUUGAAAUAGACUUAAAAAGAAGGAUAGUACAAAAUAUUUUUUUAAAAAAGAACUAUAUAAUAAAUUUAUUACUACUAAAAAAAAUAAGUCCCCUCAAAUUGGCAGUCUUAAGAGGGUCACUUUAUUUUCUAAGGCAUGGCUGGCCUCCUACUCAAUUGUGAGACAGUGAGUGUGAAUUUGAGUCAUCAAGAAAACAAAAAGUGUGGAAGCUCCUCCGAGUCAUCAGACCCAGUAUUUACAUGGUAUGUUAUUGUAAUGGUAUAAAUAUAAAUCGAAUGUAUUUUAAUAAUUUAAUAUCUACGCAAAUGGAUACAGGUUAUAAAGGACAAAUAAUUUGAUAGGUCACUAAAAUUUCCCUUUCAUCCAUGGACUGCGCUCGGUGAUUUCAAUUCUGACCCCAGCAUUCAUAAUCGUCAUUUGUUCUACAUAUAUUGUACGGUAAUAAUUUUUAUCGGUAAUGUUUGUCGAGUAGAUCCUUCGGUGAGCCAAUCACCUUCCACCACGUCAUUUUUUGUCUCCAUUAUGAAAUGCACUACAUUUCUCUUCUAAUCAAUUAAUUUUUUGCAGUGGGGUUAGCUUGGAAUUGCUAAAGAUUGCAGCUUUAUUUCCAAGUACAUUUGCAUUCUGCAGAGGAGAGAAGAUGGGGUUGUUGACAAAUAGAGUGGAGAGGAGUGAGAUCAAACCAGGAGACCAUAUUUAUACCUACAGAGCUGUCUUUGCUUACUCCCACCAUGGUAAUUUCACAAUGUCUCCUUCCCUUUAGCACACAUAAACAAGAAGUUUAUGAGAAUUUUGUCAUCUCUUUUGUCCCAAAAGUGAUGAUCUUUGAUGCAUAUUAGAAAACUGAAAUGUGGGUUCUUGUAAAUUGUUAGUGCUACUACUAUUUAUUUACUAUUUGGUUGCAUUCUUCCUUUUUCUUGCAUUGUGCAAAUCGCUGCUGUGUAAAGUUUGAAUCUUUUGGUCUGCUGAUUUUAUUAAGUUUUUUCCAAUUAUUUUGUUCCUUAUAGUGUAAUCCUUGAUUUGCUGAGGGUCUACCCGAAACAGUCUCUCUACCUCCAACGUGGGGGUAAGGUUAGAUUUGCGUACACUCUACCAUCCCAGAUCCCACUUUGUGGGAUUACACUGGGUAAUGUUGUUGUUGUAGUGUAAUCCUUCAUUUAGUUGUUUCAUUCAUUUUGUCUCUUAAAUCUUUGAUUUGGCUCUGUACACAAGAUUUGUCUUUUCACUAUGAAAUCAAAUUUCUCCAAUGUGUGUGUGAUUAUUUAAUCUAGUACUUACUAGUUUUUGUUUACUUCCACUUGUUAAUUUGAGUCCUCUCUCUUCUCACUCUCAAACUGUAUAUAAAUUUCCUGCAUUAAGUUUUUUUCUUGCCUUUUUUGGCUUAUGGUUUCAAUAGUGUGCAUUUACUUUAUUUUGGACUUAAACUAUGCUUAAAAGAAGGAAAAGUCGAAGAGUAAUGGAAGUAACACAUAUAAACUUUUGAGAGGCCAUUUGAUCUAAUAAUUUCAAAUACUCUAAACUUAUCUGUUUCAAUCGGAUAUAGUGGGAUCACAUUGAUCAAAUUAGACUAAAAUAGGCAUUGAGGUGUCGCUUACACCAUCAGCCAGUUCUCUUACCACCAAAUUUCAUCCUAUCCAAAUCACGUGAUGUUGCAUUCAGAGUUUGCUUUUAUUAGAUAGGUGUGCUUGUCUAUUUUAUAAUACAAAUCCAUAAAUAAAUGUGGGGACGUGGAUAGUAUGUGGGAUAGGGCUGCUGGAUGCAUCAAGGAGUCUGCUGGAGAGGUGUUGGGUGUCUCGAGGGGCUGGUCUGGCCGGUAUCGGGGGGAUUGGUGGUGGAAUGAAAAUGUUAAGAAGAAGGUGGAGUCGAAGAAGGCGGCUUAUGCUAAGUGGAUUGAGAGUAAGGUUGAAGAGGAGAAGCGGGUGAGCAGGGAGGAGUACAAGUUAGCUAAGAAGGAGGCUAAGUUAGCAGUUACGGCUGCUAAGACAACAACUUUUGAGAGUCUGUAUAAGGGGUUAGAGGAGAAAGACGGGGAAAAAAGGUUGUUUAGGCUUGCUAAGUUUAGGGAGCGGAAGGGUCAGGAUCUAGACCAAACGAAGUGUAUUAAGGGGGAGAAUGACAGAGUAUUGGUGGAAGAUGCCCUCAUUAAGAAAAGAUGGCAGUCGUAUUUUCGUGGGCUCUUAAAUGAUGAGGGGGACAGAGGUGUUGUGUUAGGGGAGUUGAAGCACUCCGGGGAGUGUUGCGAUUUCGGCUAUUGUCGGCGCUUUAAGGUAGAGGAGGUCAGUAAGGCUAUUCGCAAGAUGCGAAGGGGCAAGGCGACGGGGCCCGACGAGAUCCCGGUGGAUUUUUGGAAGUUCUCUGGCAGGGCAUGGUUGAGGUGGUUGACCAACUUGUUUAACAACAUUUUCAAGUCCGCAAAGAUGCCCAAGGCGUGGAGAUGGAGCACGACGAUCCCUUUAUAUAAGAACAACGGUGACAUUCAGAGUUGCAACAACUACCGGGGUAUAAAGUUGUUAAGUCACACGAUGAAGAUUUGGGAGAGGGUGGUGGAGCGGAGGUUGAGGAAGAUUGUGUCUAUUUCAGAGAAUCAUUUUGAUUUUAUGCCUAGUCGCUCUACGACUGAGGCAAUUCACCUGGUGCGGAGACUGGUUGAGCAGUAUAGAGAGAGGAAGAGGGAUCUUCACAUGGUGUUUAUUGACUUAGAAAAGGCGUAUGACAAGGUCCCUAGGGAGGUUCUUUGGAGAUGCUUGGAGACAAGGGGGUCCCGGUGGUGUACAUCAGAGCGAUUAAGGACAUGUAUGAGGGGGCGAAGACGCGGGGUAAGAACAGUGGAAGGAGAUUCCGAGCAUUUUUCGGUCUUGACAGGAUUGCACCAGGGAUCAACUCUUAGUUCGGUUUUAUUCGCCUUGGUGAUGGAUGUGUUGACGCGGAGUAUACAAGGCAAGGUGCCUUGGUGUAUGCUUUUUGCGGAUGAUGUAGUUUUGAUUGAUGAGUCGCGUCAAGGUGUUAAUGAUAAGUUGGACGUUUGGAGACAAGCCCUGGAGUCUAAGGGUUCCGGUUGAGUAAGACCAAGACGGAGUACUUGGAGUACAAGUUUAGUGACUCGAGGUAAGAGGAGGAGGUGUUAGUGAAGUUGAAUUCCCAGGCGGUUUGCAAGAGGGAUAGUUUUAAGUACCUUGGGUCUACGAUUCAGGGGAACGGAGAGAUUGAUGAGGAUGUAUCUCAUCGUAUUGGGGCAGGUUGGAUGAAUGGAGGCUCGCUUCGUGAAUCUUAUGCGAUAAGAAGGUGCCCCAUAAGCUGAAAGGCAAAUUCUAUAAAGUUGCAAUCCGGACGACUAUGAUUUAUGGAGCGGAGUGUUGGCCGAUUAAGAAUUCUCAUAUCCAAAAGUUGAAGGUGGCGGAAAUGAGGAUGUUGUGUUGGAUGUGCGGAUUUACUAGGGCUGACAGGGUUAGGAAUGAGAUUAUUCGGGAAAAGGUGGGAGUGGUAUUGGUGGAGGAUAAAAUGCGGGAAGCGAGGUUGAGAUGGUUUGGUCAUGUGAUGAGGAGGGGCACGGAUCCCCUAGUUCGUUGGUGUGAAAGGUUGGCCUUGGAUGGUUUCAAGCGGGGUAGGGGUAGACCGAAGAGAUACUGGAGGGAAGUGAUUAAACGUGACUUGGAGCGAUUACAACUGACUGAGUACAUGACCCUAGAUAGGAAGGUAUGGAGGAAAAACAUUAGGGUAGAGGGCUAAGGUGGGUGGAUGAGUAGUAGUCAGUAGGUAGAAGGGCCUCGGUGUCCUUUGUUUGGCAAUGUACAAUUUUGUGUGGAUGACGUACCUAUGUUAUUUUUAUCAUGUUACAGGCUUUUGAUGUUUUAUAUAUUGUCCUUUGUCUUGAGCCGGAGGUCUAUCGGAAAUAGCCUCUCUACCGCUUUAGAGGUAGUGGUAUGGACUGCGUACACUCUACCCUCCCCAGACCCCACGAUGUGGAAAUUUACUGGGUUUGUUGUUGUUGUUGUAAAUCCAUAAAUGUAAUAGCAACAUUCUUUUUAGUACUGUUAGUGCUGAAUUGAUUGCUCUUAGACCUUUAUUUAUAUGUAAGGCUUAAGUUUAAUUUAUCUUAUAAUAAUUAAAAAAAUAAAAUAUUCUAAAUGUUCACAAGUCACCCUUGAGUCACUGCUGGUUCAUACUUCAUAUUGAUCCAGCUUAUUAUACUGUUUGGACUAGUGAUAAAUGGUGAGUUGCAUUUCUCUUCCCAAAAACUAGUUGAGAGACGGUCAUCAUAUUUCACAUUGUAGCUUCUAAGCAAUUUGGUGUUGUAGGUAUUUUCGUUGGUGGAAGCAAAGUGGUUCAUUUUACAUGGGUCGAUGGCUCUUCUGAUGCAGCUGAUGAAAUAUCAGGCCUUUCAUCAUCCUGUCCAUUCUUUCCCGACUGUGGAUUUAGGCUUCCUAACAGUGGUGUUGUUCUUUCUUGUCUGAAUUGCUUUCUCCGCAAUGGUUCACUCUACAACUUUGAAUAUGGAGUAAGCUCUUCCGUGUUCCUUUCCAAAGUGAGAGGGGGAACUUGCACUACUGCUGUGUCAGACCCUCCAGAGAUGGUUAUCCACCGAGCAAUGCAUCUUCUCCAGAAUGGAUUUGGCAACUAUGAUGUGUUCCAAAACAAUUGUGAGGAUUUUGCGUUGUAUUGCAAAACAGGUCUUUUGACACUUGAUAGAUUGGGAGUUGGAAGAAGUGGACAAGCUUCUUCUGUUGUUGGUGCUCCUUUAGCUGCGCUUCUUUCCUCCCCCCUGAAGUUGCUAAUUCCUAGUCCUGUUGGCGUCGCCACUGUAAUGUACUGUAUGAGCAGAUACGCUACUGACAUUGGUGUUCGAAGUGAUGUCAUAAAAGUUGCAGUCGAAGACUUAGCUGUAAACCUUGGCUGGGGAAGCAGCAAUGAAGGAGCUAUUGUGGAACAUGAUGAUUCUAAUAACAGAAUUCACAGGUAAUUUCAUUCUCAUUGUAUUGCGCAGGAGAUGCGGUUGAUGUUGUGCUGAUUUGUGAUAAAUUGUAGUAGACUUCUUAUCAUAAGCAUUCUGGUUUAGGAACUGCCGUUUGGCUGUUCAUGUGUGCCACCAUAUCUAAUGUACGUUGAAAAUAAGUUAUUGGUAUUAAUUUCUUAUCCUGCGUACAAAGCUGUCUUUACAUUUUCUGAACAAUUCAUUCUAAUCAUGUAGCCGAAAGUAUGAACUUCCUGUAGAUUAUUAGCUGAAUAACGCCCUCCUUCCCUACCAGACUUCCUCUUUUGUCGACCCCUUUUCCUUAAAUGGUUGGGAAACUCAUUUCCUUGAAUUUGGUAGGCAAGAACUCUGUCAGGUUCAUGGAAAUUCCGGGAUGAAACCUAGAGACAAGAAGUAGUUCUUGGACUGCCUGGCCUUUCCCAUAGUAGAAAGGAUGACCAUCUGAUAUCAAUGACAAAUUUCACCUUUGAUCUAUGAGCAAGAAUAUCCAUUUCUGCUUACAACAGAUUUUCCUUUCCAAAGAACUUUUAUAUAACAUCAUAUCUAGUUACACAUGAUUACCUACUUAUGAUUUGUUAUUUUUAUUAUUAUUUGAUUUUGACAUGAGUAAGGUCACUUUGUUUAGGUUGAGUUGAAUUAUAUGGAGUUCACAUAACUGAUAAUUCUAUAUGUUGAGACCUAGAGUUGACAGGGUAAAAGUGAAACCAGUAAAUUCAUGCCUCGUUAUCUGGAUGCCUUCUGGUGACGAGUCGGAGAUACGGUUAAAACUUAAAAGUAGAUAUAAUUGUCAAGUGGAAAAAAUAUGUAUCCGUAGCUUCAGAAUAUAAUUUGUAAAGUCUGAUAUCUAAAUAGGCCAUUGGCUUUGGUCCCACCACCACUGAGUGAGUUCCACUUGCGAAAGCAAGGAACGAUUUGUAGUAAUAUUUAGGUUUGGUGAUCUUGGAAUACACGUGGCAGUUUGGUGCAUGCUGCUGUCAGGCAAUUUAAUUGCCCAGAUCUACAUAUUCUUUGGAUCACAUUUCUGCUCAAUCGCAGGAAGAAUAAGAGGCUGAACUUGUGCCACCUAUAUUUAUGUUCUCAUCAAGAGAAUUAGGUUAUCUAAACUCAAAUAGUAAUGGUAAUAGUAAUGUCAUGACAGAUUAAUAUGGAGGAACAAACUUAAAUAGCUUAUUUGUUAUCAUUUGUAUUUCAACUAACUAGUUAAGCUUGCACAAAUGCAUUUAUGACGACAAAAAAGUCCAGAAUAUGUCAAAACAUGGUCCUGUAUAGGUCUCUGCAAGAGUGGAAAAAUGGAGAAAGAGAGAGAGAUGCUGCGAAAGAGGAAAAAGAAAGUUCAUCCUAUAGUUCCUCAAAUGUUCCUGCUAUAGUAAUGAAAGACCCAAUCGAGUCACCUGUUUUCUAUACAAUAUGCAGUUUAUAGUAACAGAUGUCUCAUAAAAGCGAGAGCCUGUCAAAACCUUACCAUGUUUGGUUCAUCAUAUAAUGGUAAUUAACUCAGACUUUUUGCAGAGUCUUCAUUGUUACUUCAUGCUCAUUACCAUCUUUUUCAUUUGGAUUUGUUUGAGUUUGUUUGGACUUCUUGCUGUUUUCAUCUCUAAAUUCUGCUUGGGUGGCCAGUUCUUUUACCUCUUCUACAAUCCCUUCUAUUCUUGAUGCUAUUUCUACAAACAGUGAUGUUAGAGUGGCCAUUUGAACAAUUUUCAUGAGCAAUAAAACAGUAGGCGUCACACUAGGCUCUUCUAUACCACUAGGUACCUCUGCAGUUGCAGGAUCUGGGGUUGGUAUAUGCUGGUGAAUUGGGAAGGUUUUGAGGGCUUUUUGAAGGCCUUCUACUGAAGAAUUCAUUUCAUCAACAAGUAUAUCUAGCUUUGUUGAAUUUUUCAUUGUUUUUAUCAUACUCGACAGCUCUUUUAGCACCUUGGAGGAGCUAGUACCUAAUCUCAUGCAGGCAUCGUUGAGAGGCUUCUUAAGGAACUCAGGAGUCUGUGGCACAAGCAAAAUAAGAAUGAUUAAAUUCAAAUGCUAUCUUAGCAGAAAAGAUAUCAGCAUGACUCAUUCCGAUAGCUAGGAAUUUUUUAAUAUAAGUUCUUUUUACCUCGUUAUUGGAGUUAAUGCCAGCAUGGAGAGUCUCAAUGCAAUAGGCACAGCUUCUCAUUGAAGCUCCAAUCUUGAGGUACUGUUUCCAUGGAUGUCGGAAACUGAAUUUUCCAUGUGCUGGCUCCCAUCUAGCAAAAUUGGCCUGAUAUAUAUAUUUGUAAGAGGUUUAGUUUAUCUUUUAUUAGCUAAACAGGAGAGAGAUCUGAACAUGCUAGAUCAAUCAGUAUCAGAGAAAGCUGAUUACAAACCAUGGUUUCUUCAGCAACCUUAGAAUUAAGUACACAUUUGUAGCCUUGCAAUCUUUUACUGGAAUCUUUCUCAUGUACAUUUUUACUGCCAACUACUCUGAAGUUCUCAGCUGCAUAUCCUGAAUAUUCAAGUCCAAAAACUAUUAAUCUCUUCCAUCAUUGACAUUGAGAGCAUAUAUUUGUGAUACCAUUAUUCAGUUAUCAAAUGUAUAUUACCUUCCAAGGAAUCAGCAAGUUUUUCCAGGUUGUUACUAAUAAGAUGGUGCAGCUCAGUACCGGCCCAUACAGGGCAGAGAACCAUGGUAAUGAAAACACAAAUGGAGGUCCCAAUAGCAAUAGUGGAGAUCCUUUCAUGAGCCAAUUCAACCAACUUAUCAACACGAUAGCCUGAGACCGACACUAAGCUGAAGGUAAGGAUGAAGAUCAUUGCACCAUAAUCAAAUCGUGCUUUUAUGGUAGGUAUAAAUCGAGAAAAAGUUGUUGCAGCAGCUGCAAGAAAAGACAUAAAACAUGUUAGGUCCAUAACUAGUAACAAAGUUUUUAUAAAUGUAUAUAUAUAGGAAAUUGUUGCAUACCCAAGAGAAAAACUGAAGCUUGGAGAAUAACAGGUUCAAAUUUAUCCCCAGCAUGACUUGCAACCCAGUGAACACCAAUUCCUAAAGAUCCAGCAAGACAUGUUCCAAUAGCUCUAUUUACACACUUGCUAAGUGUAGAACCUACCAUAUAGGAAUGUAAUUGUUUAAAAUUCAACACCAUAAUGAAUUAAAUAAAAGAAAGAAUCAUCAGAGGUUUGACACAUGAAUACUCACCUACUGUGUACUCAAAAACUACAACAACUGUCAUAACUGCCCACAUAGCAUUCCCUCCAACACCAUCAUAAAGAGGCCUCAUGUAAGAAGCAAUGAACAACUUUUUUUGGUUCAUUUACAGCCAAACUCCAUGCCUUGUCAAGAAAACCCCUGAUGUUCAAAACAAUCCCCAUAACUAAGCCUUGCAAUCUACUGAUAAACUUGCUUGUUUGCCUGGACUCUGGCGCUAAAAUUCGCGACGAGCCAUCAGGCAUGUUGACUCUCCAUUCCAAACUUGUAGGCACCUCAUUUUCCUUAACCAUAUUUGCUAAAAAUAAACACCUUGUUCCAAACUUCUUUCUUGUCUAUUGUACUUUAAGAUUGAGUUGGUUAAGGUUGUUUGAGGACUGUUGGAGUUUGAGAAUUCCAAUUAUCAUGUGUUUAUUGGAGGACUUGUAGUAGAGCUUUAUAAGUUAUCAUGAAUUGGUGGUUAAGUAUGUCAUAAUAAUGCACACAUCACAUAGAUAUAUAUAUACUCAUGCUCCAAGAUUUAAUUUGUACCUUUGUAGAGAUUGUACGGGAAACUUUAUAUUUUAGUUAGGUAAGCUCAGGCAUUUUUUAUUUUAAACAAAUAGUGGGCAUUGGAUUUGAAUAUUCAUAUUUAUUCAUAGUGCUUGUUCUAAGAGUGUGCUUGAUAUUCAUAUUUAUUCAUAGUGCUUGUUCUAAGAGUGUGCCUAAAAACUAACAUAUUACUAAAACUUUUUAAAGUGGAACCGAAUGUAAAACGUCAUUAAUUUGAUAUUUGUUUUGUUUAUCUAUCGACUAAUAUUAUCUUCAUAUCUUAAUUAUGUUAUCCUUUAAUUUGUAUAUAAUCAAUCCUGAUCUUUUUCCCAUCUGAUUACAUAUAUCAGAAUUUUAAGAAUAAUAAGUGGAAAAAUUAUGAAAAUUGCAGUAAUGAAUUCUCCCUCAGCUCGCAUUCAAUCAAAUUAACUCCUUUUCCCCCUUUAAUUUCUUCCUAAUUCUAUCUUAAGUUGCUUUUAGUGCAAUUAACGGUCCACCACAAACAAAAUGGAAACCAAAAAAUUGGAUUCCAUUUAGUUUCCUUGUUGUCCUUCUUAUCCUUUUUUAUGUACUAUAUACACGUCUUUUUUAAAAAAAAAAAUGAAAUUUUCCUAUUCUUCAGCACGCCGAUACACAUGAUCGAUUGUUGUUGGUAUAUAUGCAUUUUAUUAUUAAAUUAAUAUAUUAAGUGCAUAUGUGAUUAUCUAAUUUUUCUUCAUUUUGUUCAUUUUAUUAUUUCAACUGUAGCUAUUGUAAUUUGUGGUAUAUAUUACACCAACAUCGAUUAAUAAAAUAUCAAAUUAAUAAAAGGAGAGUUCGUCAAAGAUUAUGAGUCGAUAAUGAAAUUCUUACGUACAGCACUUAAUAAUAUGAUUAAAAUGCAUUUGAUUUUAUGUAUUAUUAAAUUCUAAUAGUUUUACAAAUUAACAAGGGAAAAUAAAAUUAAAGAAACUUUCUGUUCCGCAUUAAAUAUUACUUUCGAUGUUUAUAUAUGCUUUCACGUCUACUUAUGUCUGGUUAGUGCAUUAUGUCUAGACAAAUUAGAGAUAUAGGAGUUACAUUAGGAAAUCGUUUCAACUUGCCCUUAACCAAAUAAGUAAAUCGUCACAACUUGUGCAUAACUCUAAAAAAAAAAAAGUUAUAUCUAGUUUAAGUUCAUCAAUUCACUAAUAAAAGGAUCUUUACACAUAAGUUAUAGAAUUUGAAGUCCAUAAAACAAGGUAAUUAAGAAAGGUGGGGAACAACGGUCUCACACAAAAAAAAUUGUCUAAAAUUCUUUACUUUUUCUAACCGGAUACAUUUACUAAGCACUAAUUAUAUAUGACUAUACACAUAUAUUAACAUCAGCGGGUUAUUUUAAUUUAUGCGGUUGAGUACUAAUCGGCUUUUCAGUUUAAUUCUUUGAUAAUUUAAAAGAUUUUUGCACAAUCAAAUCGGUAACUACAUAUAUAAAAAUAUAACUAUCUAUAAUAAGCAUUAGUGAUAACUAAAAUGAUAACUUACCUGUUAUGACAUAUUAAACUACAUGAUAGCUAGUAUAAAAAACUUUGUAUUAGUAGUACUGGCAUAUUCCUCAAAUUAAAAAAGUAAAUGGUCUAGAAAUAGAACUAAAAUGGAAAAAAAAAAUGUAUUUGGAAAAAGGUCUUCCAAUGACUUUGUAGUAAAGUGAAAUCAUCUUCGUAAGUUAAUACUACCUAAUUUAGGCCUUUGUGUUGGAAAGAACAUGACCUAAACCUAAUUCAGCACUACUACUAUUAGCUAGUGCCUUUUAACUCAAAUUAAAAAAGCCCUUUAACUCAUCAUAUUUAAAUUUGAUCAUUUCAUGUUCACUACGUGAGUUAUAAUAAGUGCGCAGUUUAUUAUAUAAAAACAUAUAUAAAUCAGUGAUGGAGCCAAAAAGUUAAUUUUAUUGAGAGGGUUCAAAAAAUGUAUAUAUAAAUUAAUUGAAGAGGGUUUAAUAUCUACUAUACAUACAUAAAAAUAAUAAUUCAACUAUGUAUAAAUAGUGUAACUUUUCGUCGAAGGGGAUUCGAAUGAAUCCUCUCAUUGUAUGCUAGCUCCGCCCCUGAUAUAAACGAUUAAAAUAUGCCUAACACCCAUAAACAUCACCGUCACAUAAAAAAAUGAUCUAAUUAAUUAUGUCUGUAAAGUCAAGUUAAUUAUGUAUUCAAAUUAGGUCAUGAAGUAUGACUGGCCAUGGAGUUUCAUGAAUAUCCCCCCUUAUUAGUCUGCUAAACUAUUUUAAUUACGAUGAUAACUCCACGUUACACGAACAACAACAUAUAAUUUGAAAAGCUAUCUUAACUACGUAUCAAAUAUUAGUCGGUUCAUAAGUUCAACUUUUUAUACUUUUAGUUUAAUUUCUUUAUAUAAUCUCACAUUUUACAUUUUUUCAAACAUGAUUAAUCAGGUCGCUUAAAAGAUAAAAUUAUGUAUUAUUAAAUACAAUAAGAGGAAUUAACUAACUGUAUUAUUCUCAAAAAUAAGUAAGACAAGUACUAACCUUCUACAGAAAGUUAAAUUGCACCGAGUGUAAAAAUUUAAUCAUUCUUUUAUUUAUGUCGACCGUCAGAUAUCUCAUUCUAUAUAUGGAAUGGAAGAAUAUAUUUUUUUUAAUUUAUUAUUUAAUUAUUUUUCAUUAUAUUAACUAGACUUCCUAAAAUAUAUGGUAGAAGAAUUAAUUAAUAUUUUUCUUUCUACUAGAGUUCCUAAGAUAUAUGGGACUCUUAAAAUCUAUGGUAGGAAAAUUAAUUAGUAUUUUUCUUUCUAAUGUUCAAUUAGAAAAAUACUUCUAAAAUAGGACUAUAUUAAGAUAUACUUCUAUAAAUAUUGAGAUGUACGUUAAACUAGAGAACAAACCGGUUUGCCUAUUGGGAGAAUAUUCGAUUGCAUGUCUAUUGGUGGAUGUUUGAUUUUCUAACCCUCAACUUCUUCAAUGUCUUUGUCAGCAUAAUAGAAUUCAACAUGUGUAUGUAUAUAUCUUCUUUGUUUUCAUUCAAAAUCAUUCUUUAGGAUCAAAAUUUCCGCUCAGACAAAAAUUAGUUGGAUCAAAAUCAAAGCUUUGUGAUCACUAUUAUAUUAUUUUUUUUAUAGUUUACGGAUCGUAGAUGAAUGUCGGUUGACUUUGAAGAAUUUGUUGUGUAAAGGUUAGGUUUAAUUGUAUUGUUUUGAUAUAUUUAUUAUCUUAUUGUUUUAUUUUAAUUUACAGAUGCUAGAUGAUGUCGGUCGGUUUUGAAAUUUUUUCUAGGUAAAGGUUUGGUUUAAUUGUAUUAUCGUAAUAUCUCUAUUAGUUUGUUAUUUUGUGGUAGUUUACCGUUCUUAGAUGAAUAUCUCACCGGCUUUGAGAAAUUUUUGUAUGUAAAAUUUAAGUUUAAUUGUAUUGUUUUGAUAUCACUUUUAUUGUAUUGUUUUGUUGCAGUUUAUAGAUAAAUAUUGGUCACCUUUGAAUUAUUUUUUAUGUAAAGGUUAGGUUUAGUUAUUAUUUUAAUAUCUCUAUUAUAAUAUUAUUUUGUUAUUGUUUACAGGUGGUAGAUGAGUGUCGGACGACUUUGAGAAUUUUUUAUGUGUAAAGAUUAGAUUUAAUUAUAUUAUUUUGAUAUCUCUAUCAUUGUAUUGUUUUAUUAAAAUUUACGGAUGAUAGAUAAAUGUCGAUCGAUUUUUAAAAAUAUUUUAAAUAAAGAUUAUGUUUAAUAAAUAAAUUUUCCAUCUUUACAUACUCAAAAGAUAUAAAUUUAAUUAUUAUAUUUAUUUUUGUUAUUUAAACAAAUAUCCUAUUUAGUGUAAUGUUUGAAUUCAUUAAAGUGAGGUACACGCUCAAGCUGCCUACACCUAAACUAGUUAACUAAAUCACUCAAAUCUAUUUGUUAGUAUGUAAUUUUUAUUAAUCAGUGGAUCAGUCUCGUAAUGCUCAUUGGAACCACAGGGGGCAAACACAAAAGUGAUAUUUAGAGGACCUAUAGGUUAAAAUAUUUUGCUCUUGAUAAUUUUUUUUUACUUAAUUCUGUAAAAGUUGUUACGUACAAGUAAGUGCAUAUAAUAUGUGGCCACGCACAUCACCAUGCAAGCAGAAAUUCUAAUAGUGCUGUACAGCUUGGGGUUUCGAUGUGGAUGGUUGAUGAAGGCUCCUUUUGUGCAACUUGACGGGUGUAGUAUCGUAUCGAUAUUUAAAAUUAAUUUUUAAGUUAUAUAUACUGAGCAUAUCGUAAACUUAUAUAGUACUAUAAUUGAUUAACAUAUCGUAAGUUUAUAUAGUACUGUAAUUGAUUAACAUAUUAUAGCUGGUCAUGAGUAGUUACCCUAUUUUGUCAAAGUCAAACUGAUAUUGGGAACUUAACUACAAAAAAGUUAUUAGUAAUGCCUAAUUUACAGGUGACUUAAUUAAUAGAGUGAUCACUAAUUCACUAUUAGUAAUGCAUAGAAACUGAUCUCUAUUUUAAGUUUAGAGUUUCUCAUAUUCAUUAAAAGUGCAAACGAUUUUUAUACUAUUACGCCUGUGCAUGCUGUAGUAUAUUUUUUUUUUACAUUUAUAAGUUCGUCCUCUUUUAUGGAGAGUUACCUGUAAAUUAAUAUCUUCAAAGUGACAUUUUUUACCUAGUGAUAAGUUAAACGCUUGAAGUUAUUAAUUCACAUCCGAGAUACAUAACUAGAAAUACAUAUGACAAAUUUAAAUACGAGUCAUGUUCGUUUAGAUGUGAAAAAACAUAUACUCCCUCCGUUUAAAAAAGAAUGACCUACUUUUUUUUUUAAUUGUUUUAAAAAAAUGACUCCUUUCCUUUUUUUACAAUACUCUAAUUUCAAUUUUAUACGUGUUAUAUUUAAGACCACAAGGUUAAAAGGCAUUUUGAUACAUUUGACCUAACCCUAAUUUAGGACCACAAUAUUUUAAAAUCUUUUUAUUUUUUAAAACUUCAUAUCAAAUUAAAUUAAAUCAUUCUAUUUUAAACGAAUGGAGUAAUUCGAUUCAUGCUAUGGUAGAUCGUUGUAGGCUUGUAUAAAGAGUUAGAAAGAGGUAAUUAGUCAUGCAGGCCCAAUUAUAAUUAAGUGGCCAUGGCCACGUGUGUAAGCCCGUAAAAUGCAAGGAGUUUAUUCUAGAAUCAGCCCAAAUCAGGACAUUCCUUAUUUGGUGUUCCAUAGAUUUAGAUAUUUUUUACUAAAAAUUAUAUAAAUACACAAUUUAUAUUUACAAUAUUACAAAAAAUCUCAACUCUCUAAAUAUAUUACAAAAAUUUUAACAUAUACACAGAAUGCUAUGUAUAUAUCGGCUAUGUUAUGUAUAUUAAUAGGGAGAGAGAGUAAAGUUAUUAAAAAAAAGUGGGAGAGAGUGUAAUUACUUCAAAAAGGUUGGUAUUUAUGUCAUUUAUACUUUUUUUUAUUCGGAGUUCACUGUCCGAUCUGAUUACGAGCCACAAUUAUUUGGAAUUCUAAGAAUCAUAUCGGAUUAGGUCUGGCUUUGAUGUAAUCUCAAAAGCUAGCCCAAAUAAAUGAGUGUUGCUCAAGUCAUCGAUAUAGAAUUUAUUUCGUCCACAUCUGCUAUUAGCAAGUUGGACAUUUGUUAGAGUAUGAUCAAAGAACGCUAUUUGAAAGUUUUAGAUGAUCCUUAUUUUAACAUGAAAGUUGCAUGACUAACCAAUUUCCAAUCUAAUGAUUUGUGAUGGUUAAGUGUCAGUAAGAUAUUUUAAUUUAAGAAACUCGAUCCUUUUCUUAAUUGAAAAAAAAAAAAAUUAGCAAAUGAAUUUCACAAACAAAAUUACUAUUUGGAUUGGUUACUUUAUAAAAGUAACUUUUUUUUUAGAUAGUAAUAUCCUCGUAAAUCCAUUAACUCGUAAAAUUUUUGUUAAUCUCUUUAUCUAAAAACAACUUGAAUCGUUAAGAAUUUUGAAUCAAAUUGACAAAUAAUUUUAAUUAAUAAUCAAAUUAAUUCUAGCUACACAAAUUUUAAUUACUCAUGUAUUAAUUUUUUUAAAAAUCUAUACAAAAUAAUCCAUAAAUUAACUCGAUCAUAACUUAUACAUUUUUCGUAUGUGAGAUUAUAAAAUAAUAAUCAAAUAUUGUACUUUAUUUACUAAAUCUUAUACAAAACAAUUAAAAAGCAAUUGUACCAACUUAUACAUAAAUGGUUAUCUUUCUAGCCAACAACCAACCACCAAGCACCGACCUCUUAGUUAAUGGGUUUAUAUUAUUUAGUAAAAACAUAUAUAUGUUGACAUUUCGGCCGAUAUUGAACAAAUACACAUUUCCUUUUCUAUGAAUACCAUAAAGAAAAAAAUUCAAUGAAAUGCCAAUUAGUCAAAUUUGGACAAGAUGGAUUGCUUGGAUGAUAAUCAACUUCAAUUCUAAUUUUGAGAUAUGAUUUCGAAUCAUCAAAAAGAAGCAGGAGGGAUAAUUAAAAAAAUAAGAAAAAAAUUAAAUUUAAUUAAUUUAUAUCUCACAAUAUUAAAAAAAUUACAAUUUUUUUUACAAAAAAGAUCAUCAUUUUUGUUAGGAAAAAUUGCGGGACAUUAUUACUCCCUAUUUUAAUUUAUUUAUCUUAAUUUUUUUAAAAAAAUUUAAACUAAUAUUUUUUGUUGAUAAUUUUUAAUUAACGUUUAUGUGACAUGUUUAAGAUGAUAAAAUUUAUUUUAAAUUUAAAAAAUUCAGAAAAUAUAUAUAUAUAUAUAUUUUAAUUCUACAUCAAGAUUAAAAUGAAAUAAACAAAUUAAAAUAAAGAUAGUAUUAUUAAAAAGAAAAAAAGGAAGCUUGAUAAAGUAUGCUAACUAGAAAGAUAUUAUUAGUGAAUAGUGGAUAAUUAUGAACUUUGGUCUAUAGUACUUCCAAAAUAAUAGUCCUUCCAAUAGUCGCAAAGCAAACCGAAGAAGAAAAAAGUGAUCAAAUUCUUUGAUGAACCCAAAAUAAAAAUUAGUAACAAAAUUUGAUCAAAUCACUGUUCAAUUGAGCUAAAGAGAAAAAGGGGAAAUGGCGAAUUUGUAUGUAAAAGCAGUGCCACCGGCGGAUCUGAAUCGGAACACAGACUGGUUCAUGUACCCUGGUGUAUGGACAACCUAUAUACUCAUCCUUUUCUUUUCAUGGAUUCUUGUUCUUUCCCUUUUUGGUUGCUCACCUGGCAUGGCGUGGACCGUUGUUAAUCUUGGUCACUUUCUGGUAUGUUGUUGUUGUUGUUGAUUGACCCAGUUCUUUGCGAUUUUGUGUGGGUUUUAGUGUUGGGUUUUUGAAAAGAGUUUCUUUUUUUGUUUGAUUCUUUGUGUUGAAAGAUUUGAUCUUUGAUGACUUUGGAUUGUCUUUUGUGAUUUUGAGUGGUUUAAGAUUAACCCCUCGUUCGCAAGGGCAUGGUUGCAUGGUUGGGAGGCGGGUGGGUCUACUAUGUGGGAGACCUGGAUCGAAUCCACCCUCCGUCUGCUGAUCAGCCAUGAGCUCGUCGCACGGUGUACAUAUUCAGUGUGGUUUGCGAGCUAUUGCACAGUGAGCCUUUUACCACAAAGGGGGUUCCACGAAAAAAAAAAAAAAGAUUAACCCCUCAUUGUGGUUUCGAUCUAUGUGUGCUUCUGUUUAUCAUUUAAGUGUUUUUUAACCUUGUGUUUUAGGAGUAAGGGCGAGUGAGCCCUUUAUGUUGAAAGAUUUGAUCCUUCUUUCAGAAUUUUGGAUUGUUUUCGUGAUUUAGACUGGUUUAAGUUUAUCCCCACAUUGUGGUUUUAAACUAUGUGCGUUUCUGUUUAUCGUAUAGAAGUGUUAUCUUUUACUUUGUGUUAUAGGAGUAAGAGUUUUGCGAGUCCUUUUAUGUUGAAGAAUUGAUGUUUUGGUUCAGGAUAUUGAUUUCGUUGGAGAAAUUGAAUGGCUUAGAAGUCAGCCUUAUUACGGUUUUGAUUUUUAUGCGUCUGUCUUUCGUUUGUAUACUUUACUUUUUCUCGAGAGUUCUUGGUUCGAGGCUGUUUUUUGGUGAAAUUGAAUGGGUUAAGAUUGGCCCAAAUUGUUUCGGAUUUGGAACUUUUGAGCUAGAGUAGUACGGGGGGGAUCCACCAUAGGGUAAGGGUGGUUCAGUGCACACCCUUAGCUGGACUAUUAUGUGGUGUAUAAAGGUUUAAUGUUAGCUAUUUCGAGUGCAUAUUUAAUGUUGCUUACCCUAAACACAACUGAGGAAAAAGAUUCGCACACCCUUCGCAAAUUCCUGACUCUGCCUCAAGGAUUUCUAGUUCAUAGUGAGUGAUGUUCACUUCACUUCUAGGGACUCUAUCUAGAAGAAACGUUUAAUGAAAUAAUAGAGUUGGAAUAUACAGGGUGUACUCAAGGAUGAAAUGGAGAUGGGUUGUCAAUUAUCUGUUUAAGAAAUUCCUCCUUCCUUUUCGAAGAGAAUGACAUAGUUAGUUCGGCAUAUUCAUCGUUGAUAGAUUUUGGGGCUUUACAAUUUUUUUGCAUUUGUUGUCGGUAAACAUUUGCAUGCUUUUGAACUAUACACUUUUUGUUUCUAGUUUGUACUGCUAGAAUCAAGUUGAAUGGGAAAAUCAUUCAGUCAAUGUCUUGGAGUGACCAAAGUCCAGGUUUUGCAUUCUCAUAAGUUCUAAGACACUGGAAGAAAAUUUCUUGCAACUCUUUUUGUCAAAGUCAUUGUUGGUUUUUUUGUUUUUUAAAAGAUGGGGCAGUGAAAAAGGGUUAAAAUGACUCUCUUUGGAUUGAAAUGACUUUCAAGCUUUCAAUGGCUUUCCAAUAAUUUUAUUAAGCAUAAGAGGGCUUUAAAUAGGUAACUUGAAACAACAAAUCUGCAUAAUUUCAAAUUCAAAAACCUAAAAUUUCUCAACAACUAAAACAACCUAACCUAAAAUUUAAAAUUCAAACUUAUCUUAAUUCUAAACAACUUAUGAACUAAAAUUUACUGCAGUAACUAAAUCAAUUUUCAACACUCCUCCUUUGGUUUAGUUACUGCAAUUUAAAAACUGCUCCUCCUCAAUUUUUGUUCUGGCAGUGCAUGCUGAAUUUUUCAAUUUUUUUGAACUUGCACUUUUUCUUUUUGAUAUUGAUCUUUCUCUUUUUUCUUUUGAUUCUUUGAUGGAGAAACACCAUCAACAAUCUUGUAUUGUUUGAAAGUACUUUUAUAGGCUUUGCAAACUGUUGUAAAGUUUUUUCACCCCUCAAAACAUCACAUAAAAGAUAGGUUUCAAAAUAUGAUUUCUUCAUCGACUAAAUUAGACAGUUUUUGUAGAUGAAAAUUUUUGGAGCAUUCAAAGAGAGACUGCUGCUUGACAUAUUUUUGGUUGAAAAUAGCCCUAUGCUUUGAAAAUAAGCACGGGUUGAAAAUGGUAGCCCUGACGGGUUAAAAAUGAUAUGGUAGCGCUUUGGAAGAACUCACAGAUCCCGUAAGAUCAGUGAGGCUCUUGAUACCACUAUUAGUUUUUUUUAAAAAAAAAGAUGGGGCAGCGAAAAAAGGUUAAAAUGACUUUCUUUGGAUUGAAAUGACUUUCAAGCUUUCAAUAAACUUUCAAUGGCUUUCCAGUAAUUUUAUUAAGCAUAAGAGGGCUUUAAAUAGCCAACUUGAAACAACAAAUCUGCAUAAUUUCAAAUUCAAAAACCUAAAAUUUCUCAACAACUAAAAUAACCAAACCUAAAAUUUAAAAUUCAAACUUAUCUUAAUUCUAAACAACUUAUGAACUAAAAUUUACUGCAGUAACUAAAUCAAUUUUCAACCGUCAUAAUGGUAAAUUACAAUUAAGUAACCUCUGCUGCCAUUUUCUUAGAGAAAGAUUGCUUGUUAACGCAACAUUUGAAGCCAUUAUGGAUUGGUCAAACUUUACGAAUUCAUGUUUUGUUCAUUAGGAUAAUAUCUAGUGUUAAGAUGUAGAGCUCCGGAUGGAUGGUCCAUUUCGCUACAUUUGCAUCUUGUAGCGAAAUUGAAAAGCCAAGUAUUUCAUAUAAUAUGUGAGGCGCUUGUGUGCCUUAAGUUUACCUGCCAAUUUGUGCCUAAGAAUGUCCUAGGUCGUUAACAGCAGCUAUUUUUUACCUGUUCUUGGCCGUCUGUUUUUAUUUGCUAUUUGACAAAGUAAGCUGCUGAUGCACAUCUGACUAUUCCAAUGUAGCAUUGCUAUGGUUUUUCUAGAUAUAAUCAGUUUUAAUUGAUAGCAGGAAAACUUUAUGCAAGCUGCAGUCUUACUUACAAGGUUGUUUGACCUUGGAAUACUUUUGUCUGGACAACUUAAGAACAAAUCAAUGUGCUUCAUUUUAGUGACCUUUUGCAACUUUAAGGGUAACUGAGUUUGGGACAGUUCUCUAUAUCUAGGAACUAGUUUUAGCUUUGUCUUGAAAAUAAGUAGGUCCUAUGAUAUUUAGCACAUCUUGCACUUGUGCCUCCUCCACUUUGUUGCAGUACCCUUUUUCUUUCAUUAGUCAAGACUAUUACUUGCUCCGUAUCGAUCUGUUUGUUUUGUUUUGACUUGACAUGGAGUUUAAGAAAGUAAAGAAGAUUUUUGUAUCUUGUGGUGUUAAACUGAAGAUGUGUAGAAUGUACCAAAUGUCCUUUAAUUUGAUGGUCUUAAACAUGUCACAUGGAAAGUUUGACUUAAUGAGUUGCCAAAAAAGGAAAGAGGCAUUUUUUGAAAUGGACUAAAAAGGAAAGUAAGGCAAACAAAUUGAAACGGAGGUAGUAUCAUGUUAGUAAUGAAACAAAUACCCACAGAAAUCUUACACUUAAUUAAAAACCUAAUUACACAUUAAAAUUGUACCCAUGACCUCUUAAAUGUUUGGUCUCUUAAAGUGGGUCCGUUCUAACUUAUUUGGAUUUCUUAAGAUGUACAAAAGUUACUGCAGUGUGUGAGGAUUUUCUAUUUGAGGAAUGUACACGGCUACAUGCGUUUGCACAACCCAAGAAGUAUAAUAAGAUACUUUGGACGGACGAAGAAACAUGUUACUUGUUUGGAAUUGAGAUCUAGUUGUUGUUGUUGAAGCCAAUUUAGAUCAAACUAAUAUUAGAACCUUUUUGGAAUCACAAAGUAUGUUCCUUCUAAUGACAUUGAAGAGCUUGUACCUCUCUUAGGCAUCUUAAGAAUUCCAAUUAUAUUGGAUUAUCAGGAUGAAAACUUGAAUUUUCAAAUUUGAAGUCUCAGGCUUUUGCUUUGAGCUAUGAUACUGGACAGGAUUUGGUUCUUUUUUUCUGAGCUAGCUGUGACAUCUUUGGAAGAUAUAAUACUUGAGCUCAUAUUAAAAGAAGGCAUAGCAGCGGAGUAAGAUCUAUUUAAUUUAUUACCAAUUAAUCACAAACACUUUCAGCAUGUAGUUUUUGAACUAUUAUAAAAUGAAUUUCAAUUUACUAAAAACACAGGAAGCAAAAAAUGUACUUUUCUUGAAUUUUUGUAACCUACAGAAACUGCGUGAUGCUCUACAGAGAUUUGAAAUGAGUGAUCUAUUAAGGAAACAGCGGAUGAAUUAACCACUCAACUUUUACACUGAAUUGGGCAAAUAUGGUUUUAAAAUUCAAAUUUCCAGAUAUUUUCCUUUAAUUUGGUCUUUGAUCGGCUGCAUCUUCAUUUUUAUUUUAGUUACUGUUGAUAUGAGGUUGAUUAAUUUAUUUUGAUAUGUUCACGUGAUUUAUCCACAAAAGGAAAGCAAAUGAUACCUUCACAUGUAACUGAAUAUGCUUCAACAUGCAGGUCACAUAUCACUUCUUCCAUUGGAAGAAAGGAACUCCAUUUGCAGAUGAUCAGGGAAUGUACAAUCAAUUGACGUGGUGGGAGCAAAUAGACAAUGGGAAGCAGCUCACUCGUAACCGAAAAUUCUUAACUGUUGUGCCUGUCGUCCUGUAAGUUUCAUCUUUCUUUUCCGUUGACUUUCAAAAUUUGGUUUGGAAAACGUUAAGAUCAUCAUGACAUCCUAUAAGGGCAGAGUGUGCGCAAUUCAUACCUCUACGUCAGAGGGAGGUAAGGGGAAAAUAAGACGUGCUAAGAUAAUGCUUGUUCUUUCCUUUUUUUCGUUUUAGGUGCAAUAAGAGAGUGUUGGAUGGUUAAUUUGUAUGAUUUUAAUUUCUAAAAUUAAUUUGUUUUCCGAGCUAAUUGAAUAAAUUGUCCCAAUUUAUGCCUUGAAAAGAAACUUAAACCAGAAUGUUUUUUUUUUAAAUGCAAAUUUCAUGCUAUGGCACUGCUUUCUAUUUAUUAAUGAAACCUACCAGUUACUGUUAUCAACCCAUUUUUUUUCUUGUGCAAAUCUCAUGCUCAUGCUGUAGCAGGUCUCUGUUUUCUUUUAUUAAUGAAACCUACCGGCUGUUAUUAUUAUCAACUUAAAUAAAGGACAAAAAAUGUGAAUUUAGAAGUCUUGUUAAAAAGAGAAAAAAGACAUGGGAGGCAUUAUGAUCGGGUUAUAGAGGGAUAGCGUGUUGUUUUGAGCAGCUGUCUUCUGACUAUAAUGAGAAAAAAAGCAGAGGUGCAUGACACACUCGAGGAUUGAAAAGUUGACAAAGUAGCAAAGUUAAAUGACAGGCUAGAUUCAAUGGCGAGCCUAUACUCCUAUUGAACAAUAGAGAUCUUUCUGUGGACAAACACGAAGAUUAUGUAUUAUAUCACAUUCUUAGAUUUGAGCGGCAAUAUGAAAGGCAACUACUAAUAAGGGGGCUAAAACCAAGACCUGUGCCUUGCUGAUGUAUUCCUUUGAAGGAAGAGCUCUCUGCUUUUUCUUGUUUUUUUUUUUUUUUUCAAAUUUAACACUCCAACAACUAGCAUGUUAACUAGGUUGCACAAAUCCACUAGAAGAGGGGUGUGUAGGUAACUUGAGUCUGACAGCGAUAUUCCAAGCAUUCGACUAAUCCAGAUAUAAAAGUACUUAGAAAAUGAAAUUUUGUUCCAAAUAUGUAGGUCUGAGUCUUCUAAAUGAAGUGGGACUAUUGAUAUUUCCGAAAUAGUUCAAGAAUCUAUAACAUUUGCCUCCAAGUGUUUCCAUCGAUAGUCUGAUGCUUUUCGAGAAAGAGUUGUCCUUAAGACACACAUGGGGUAUGUGUCAUAUAUUUGGAAAGUACGUGAGUAACUAUUAAAAUUAGAGAAUAAGAGGAGAAAAGGAAUUCAAAGAGUCUCAGUUCAACUUUUAAAAAAGAGGGCUCUACUUUUUAGAGAAAGCAAGUAUAUAAAAACAGAGGAACAGAACUAGAAAAGGAGAAAGAAGAAGACGUUGAAGCAAAUCAUUCUCCUAAUAAACUCAUAUUUAAUUGCCCAACAAGAACUCGUAUAUUAGUUUUAAAUUUUCUUAAUCAUUGCAUGGAAAAACCUGCGGAAUGAGCAAUCAUGAAAUAUUAUAGGUUUUUCCUAGUAUGUUAAUGUUGAUUAGCUAUUAAUAUUGUAAUAAUACAACUACUUUAGUGGUUUAUAUACCUUUUCUUAAUUAAGUAAAUGUGUAUUUGUCAACUUCUGAUUUUUUUAUUUUACCGGCUUAUUAUUUGAAUGUCGCAUUUCCUCAAAUAUGUUCUGUAUAUGCCCACUUUGUGGGAAUAUACUGGGUUUGUUGUUGUUGUUGUUGUUGUACACACACACAUCCUUGUUUUUGAGAUUUAUGGUGUUAACAUUUUCGAGACAUGUGGAAUACAAAGUGCCGACUCUAUAUGCAUGCAACGUAGCAUGCCAAGCCCGUGAUAGUUCUCAACUUGAAUUAAUAAUGCAUGUAAAAGUCAUUCGGAAUGUAAUUUGAGCAAAGGCAGUAUUUGUCUAAGCAAAAGAUCAGUCCACACACUAGGUGGCUCUAGCCCAAAAUCUUGAUCUUUAGUAUUUUAACGCAUUGCGAACUCUCAGUGAGUAAUUAUGAGGGAAGAUAGGCAAUAACUUAAGCUUUAUGAUUGAGUUGUUUGUGAGUCAUAUCAGGGAUGCCUCCUACAUUCCUUAUAGCUAUUUUAUGUUUUUUCCUCUCUUUUCUUUUCUACUUUAUUGAUGACAUUUUUCAGUUAGAGAGAUUUCUUAGCCAACUUGUUUAACUGACAGGUACUUGAUAGCCUCACAUACAACUGAUUACCAACAUCCAAUGCUCUUCUUCAAUACCAUUGCUGUGACUGUGCUGGUUAUUGCCAAGUUCCCGAAUAUGCACAAGGUCCGAAUCUUUGGAAUUAACAGCGAUCCGUAAAUGUUUCUUUUUUUGCGUCCAGUUUGACUGUUUCUCAGAGUUUAAGCUUUCUCAUCCUCCUGCUGUUCUGCGUAAAGCGAAGCUCGUCUCUGUAUAGAAGUCAGGACAGAAAAGAAUACUUGCUACUGCUUUAGUGCUAAUGGCUUUUACAAGUGAGUGCUUCUCUAGAUAGUGAAGCAAUAAAUGUAACAAGUUUUCUGUACAGUGUAAUUUUCCCAGCAAGCAUUAUAUGAGCACUAUAAUUAGUUCAAUCCCUCUCUGAACAAUACUAUCAUUUUCAACAUCUUUUUUGAGCUUAUUAUGCUGGAAAAUGGAUGGAAUUAUAUUUUUUAAUCAAUUUAAAUUUUUACAUACCGACUCUACCUUAUGGUAGAGUUAAGAUUGCGUAUACACUACCCUUUUCAGACUCCAAUUGUGAGAUUAUAUUGGGCUUAUUGUUAUGUUGUUACAUAGAGACGGGGGUUGUUCACGGGGGUGUUCACAGUUUGGUUUUUAACCAAAUCGAACCGCGAUCCAAACUAAAUCGAUUAAAAAAAUCGUAUUUGGUUAAGUUUGAUUUUGAAUUUUAAAAAAUUGAUAUUAAUUUGAUUUGAUUUUAUAUAUUUUAAUCAUGAGUUAACUUUAGUCGUAACACAUUCAGUCAUGUCUUCAUCCAGUUGACAGUACCUUAUGAGAUUCUAAAUGAAUUUGGCACUUUGAAUGAUAAAUGAUAGUAAUUGUGAAAAUAAUAUGUUGUUGUAUACUGACAACAAAGAUUUAUUAGACUAUAGACAAUCAUUAGUUUUAACUUUCUUUUUGAACUUUGUUGAGCAAGAAGUUUAGGUGUUCACCUUUUGGGGGUUUAUCAUAUCGUUCUGUUAAAUGUAGUUUUUAAAUAUUUUUUUUGGAAGCAUUAAUAUGGUGUUGUUCUUGGUUUUGUGGAAGUAUAACACUCAGAUGACAUCUUAGUUUCAAGGUUGAGAUACAACACUCGGUUGAUAUCUCAUAUGUUAGAUUGGAUCUGUUUUUUAAAAUUUUCAAUUUUUAUCAUUAGCUAAAGUUAUAAAAACCAAAAAAAUGAACCAAACCGAACUAAACCGACGGUUAUUUUUUUGUUUGAUUUGGUUUGAUUUUAGAAAUUUAAAAACCAACUAAAUUAAUUCGGUUAUAAUUUUUACCGAUAACCGACUCAAACCGACCCAUAAACACCUUAUUAGGGACAUUGUAAAAUUGCGACCCAUAAACACCUUAUUAGAGACAUUGUAAAAUUGCUUUAACACUAUUAACUUGUAAAAGACAAGCUACAAAUGAUUUUUCUUUUGGGUAUAAUAACUUAGAAAAGAAGACACGUAGUGUAAUGUCACAAUUUGUUAACUUUUUGCACUAACAGAUAAAAAAUUGCAUAUUAUGAAAUGUGUAUAAUUAAAUCAUUUUUAACCGUUCGAUCCUAAUAAUCGGGUAUGUUAGGAACUGAAAAAAAAGGUAAUUAAUUAAAAGAAAAGGAUUAGGUAUUGGUUGUGGCAGGUAGGUUCCUUUUUCGUUUGAAAAUUACAAUAUGUUUAGUGGCGUUGUUAAAUAUCAUUAUUAUUAUUUCAAUUUUAGACCAAAGCACUUAGAUUGAUUUCAAUAAUUAAUAGCUGGAUCAUCUACUAAUUCUAUAAUUUCAAACUAUUGUAUUGUUGGUAAGAUGGUAGCCCUCUACACAAUUUUGCAAGGUUUCCAAAGAGAAAUACUUUUUUUCCUAGAAAGGUUCUUUCUUAACAGGAUUUGUGUGUGAUUUUUCAACAAAGACGAGUUUUGACUCUCUUUAUAUAUAUAUAUAUAUAUAUAUAUAUAUAUAUAUAUAUAUAUAUAAUAUGGAAUAAAUAUGAAAUAUAUAUAUAUAUUUUCGAUUUUCCAUUAUAACUUUCUGAAAAAAAGGGAUCCUAGUACUGCUUGACUCCAUCCUAUAUGCACUAGAUGUCCAUAAAGUUCCGUCAAACUAAGAUACUUAACUUUGCAACACUAUGAAAAUUUGAAAAUAGUAAUUAAUAAAGUUCUACAUUGAUAGUGCAAAGAUCUUUUAUGCGAUUGAGUCAUUUAAAAAUUAUACUAGAUAAAUGUUUAUAGUGACUAUAUUUAUUGAUAUAUAAUAUAGAAAAAGUAAGUUAUAUAUCAACAUGUCAAUUAGAAUCGAUUAACUAAAAGCAAGGUAUAUAUUAACAGAAGAAACAAACGAUAUUAUGCAUUGUCAUAUAACAGACUAUUCGAAUAUAUAUUACAGCUUUUUCAUAUACACAUUGUCACUGAUUGUGUUAAAAAUAAUUCACUAUCAAUUGUAAUGAAGCAUAAAAAUAAUUAACCACAUUAUUCAAACAAGAAUAUUAAUCAGCUUCUCUUGUUUCCUUUUUUUUUUUUUUUCUAUAUAAAUAGUUCUAGCUAUAGAUCGGUAAAGGGUGUUUACCACAAAUUAGUUCAUCAACUGAACAAAUAUAAUGUAGCCAUUAAUUAGGCGGUGAUUAAGGUAGUUAUAAUGAUCAUAUAUAUAAUAAAUACAUACUAAUACAGAAACCCUAGAAGCUAACUUCAAUCAAGCUUAGCUUAAUUCCUCAAAGUAAUCAUAGACCAAAUUAACAACAAUGGAACGAGAUCAACUAUCUUCUAUGUUAGUACUUCGUUCUAAUUAAACAUCACCAAACAAAUUACUGGUAACCAAAGCAUCGUACAACAACAUACCCAACGUAAUCUCACGUGAAAAAAAUUGUUCCAAAAAAAAAAAAAAAGAGAUUUGUGCACAUUAUUAUUCCUUUGGUUUACCAGGAUCCUCCAGCACCUAACAUCCCAUUCCAAUAUAAUCCAGCAUUUGAAUUAUUAUUCUCCUGUCCCUUUGUCUGAUGAUGGUGAUGAUCAGCUUCAUUUGUACUUGAAAGUUGCUUCAAUCCUCCUAGAGGGAACAUUAUUCUUGCACCUCCAUUUUCUUGAACCCCUGGCCCUCCACUUGGAUAAUUACUCAAAGAAGCUGUAUGAUCAUGAGUAUUACCACCACUAAGCUUUAAUUCUUGAAAUGGAAAUCCUGAAGUACUGUAUAAAGCAUUCAAAUCUGGUGUUGAUGGUGAGGAGAUGAAUGAAGUGAACCCUCUUGAAGCAAUUCCAGUCCUAAGCAGCUCCAGAGCUGAAAUUUGUGUGCUACCUGAAGUUGAACAUGACGUUAAAGAUACAUAAUUAAGUAAACAAAAGUAUGUAUUUCGAUUAACUUUAACAAGUUAAGGUUUAAUAGAUGAGGUGAUCAUUACAUGUAUUCAAGUAAGAAGCUGUCAUUAUUAAAAAGAGAAUUUAACGUGCUUGGCUCACGAUUAAAGAGAUUAUUAAUCAAGCCCCCCAAGUAAAAAGCUUGUUGAAAAUAUGAUUAAACAAAUAAAAAUAUGGCAAGGUCAGACUUAGCUUCAAUAUACAUGAAUCACAGUAGGCAUUAGAGAUCCUGAGUUCUAGCCGCAACUAUCAUUAUUAAAAAGAGUUUUACAUGCUUAGCUCACGAUUAUAUUGUUGAAAAUAUAAUUAAGUAAAGGUAUGCUCUGUGUCUGUUUGUUUCCACAAAGACAUAAAAGAUGAGUACCUAGAUGAUUGUUGCUGGCAUCCAUCUUUGGCAAUUCAAGAAACUGAGGGAGGACACCAUGGAACGACGUCUGAUGAUCAUGUGGCACAGUUCGAAACCCGAGGCUAAGAUCUUGGCUAGUACUUCCAACAAUAUUAAUCUUAUUAGGGUUUUGAUGAAGCUGAUGAUCUGGAACAUGACUAUUCAAAUUAGGGUUCAGAUCAAGAACUUUUUGGGAAGAAGAAGAUCUUUUGUUUUUCCUAGAACCACCACCAACAGGAACAUUCCUAAGAGUUCCACCUUCAGUCCAAUACCUUCUACAAGUCUUGCAGAAAUAUCUUGGUUGAGUCAGGCUGUAAUUGUUGUAGUAACAAAACUUUGUAUUUGUUGAAUUGCACCUAGGACAAUUUAUUGCUCCAUCCUUCACUGGCCUCGCCUUCUUAUUAAUUAUUUCUCCACCUGGCCUUGAACCUAUUUCGGCACCCAUCGAUGAUUUCACAGCUCCGAUUUCCUAAGAAUUAUUAACCAAAAAAAAGGAUCAAGAAAAUGCAAAGAGGAUGUAUAGUAUAUGCAAGAUUUCAUUUUUGGUAAGCAAUAAUGACAAACUGGAUAAUUUCUAACUCCAAAAGUUGAAUUGGAGGAAAGUGAAAAGCAAGCAAACAAAUAAUAAUAACGAAGAACGCCUUUAUUUCCUAUGCUUUAAUUAUAUGAUAUCAUGUGGAAAGUGGAAGAAAGAAAAAAGUGCACUGAACUUUGAUGUGUAAAGAGAGAACGAACACACUUUAAUUUGGAAAAGGAUAGCAUGAACUAGAAGGUUUAAAAAUUUAAAACCAAGAAACUAAACUUCAAAUAUUUUUCUUAUGCAGAUAAUUAAGUACGUGCUGAUAAAUUAAUGAAUUUCUAUAUACCACCUGCGUCGACCAUUGAGUAGUCUCCAUAAAUCUGAGAAGACAAAAAAAAAAACAAAAAAAGGUAGAAAGGCUGAGAGAAAAUUAAUUUAGAGCUGGUUUGUUGGAGGUGUGUCUUUAGUACAUACAAGAAAGAAAGAAUGUUUUUGAGUUGUUUGUGUGUUGGCUUUAAUGGGGUUAGCUUUACUUUCCAGAUCAAAUGAUGGGAAUUAAAAAAGAUGAAGGGAGAUAUUAUGUGUUUGUUUUGACUACUACAGCUUUAGAAAUAACAAACACUUUUUUGUAUCUUAACUUUUGUCCGGAUUUCAAAGAGGGGAUAUUAUCAUAUAGAUAAAGAGAAUUCAACCUAGCUAUUUUUAAAACCCUUGUGAGUGGAAUUAUGAAUGGAUAUGUUCUGUAGUGGGGUUUAGUUUCUCCUUUUUGACCCUUUAAUAGCUAGCUAGGGGGGACUUUGAUUCCCUAUCGUUCGAUUACCAUUUUAUUUUAUCUUUAAUUUCCCCCCUCAUUUAGACUAGAGUGGAUUAAUUUGCUGUCUUGCACUUCUUACACCAAAGUUAUGUUAAUUUACCUUAUGCAGAUUUUUUGGUGCUAGUGUUUUUAGCGCGAUCACCACCAACUAUUACUAUCACGUUGUUUGAUUCUUAGAUGAUAUACAACCAGCUAUCUGAUCAAGAUGUUAGUUCUUCAAUCAUAAAUUAUAGUUCGAUUCACAUAUGUCUUAUGAUGUUAUAUUAUCUAGUUCAAGUAGUCGAGCAACAAAACUUUCUCUCUUUUGGUAGCAUUACUACCUUUUAUGUAUCUAUAAUUCCAUUAACAUAAAUUUCGAGUUACGCACAGCUCGAUUCAUAAUGUUGUUGCUAAUAUAAUCGCAAAUUAUAUUCUAGAAGUGAGCUCAACUAAGAGAUGUUUAAGGUGCUAGCCAGGCAUAUCUCACCCACAUACUCUAAUUAAGCUAGCUCGACUUCCUUGAUAAUCCCAAUACAUAUAAUUAGCAUAUUUCUCUCUCACACACACAAUACAUGUACUUACAUGUACAUACGUACAUGUACAUACAUGCAUCAGGUGUUUGAUAUCCACAUUGAAGUUUGAUUAAAUUUGGACUCGCUCUGGGAUUCCAUCUCGGCUGCAACAUUGUAUAUAUUUUAGUCCAUGCUUUUGUUGAUCUGUUCUACUGUCGAAAAAAAGGUUAAAGCUUCAUUACGAUUUCACUCGAAUUUUUUAAAUGUCCCAAAAAGUGCCUUGUUGUUAAGUUGUUGAUCUUAUAUUGAGAAAGCCACAGCUAUAGCGUUUAUGUAUGACGAUGAUGCAAUUUUAUUUAACUUGUCAAGCACACUUUAAAAUCAUCUUUUGGCAUAUAUAUUUGUCAUUGCAACUUUUUGGGAGCAAUAUUCCUUGCUAGUUGGGAAGAUAUAUAUGCAUGAUCAAGUCUCAGUAAAACUCAGCUGGAAGAUUCACCAACUACUGGAUUGUAUUAUUUGUAUGUUCAUCACCUUUUGUCCCUUCUUCUAGGGCAACGUGUGAAUAUUAUUAUUAGUGCUAAUUAAUUAAACUUUAACGUGAAUCUCUUUAACCUGGUCUAAUUGUCUUCUCCAUCUAAUCUUUUCUGCUUUUGACGUAAAGUAAAUUACUUCAUUCCUAAGUAUAUGAUAUGAUAUAUGAUGCAGCCUUUUUCUGUGUUUCCCUUUACUAAAGCAUUCUUCACUGCCUUUAGAAAUUAUUCUUCUGUAAAAAGACAUUACGGCUUCAUACCAACCAUAUCGAUUGGUCCACUAUAUUUUGCUUUUCUUGAUUUCUAUUUGAAAACACACACACACUUUCUUCUACUUUUACAUAUUAAUCUUAUCGUCUUCAUUCUCAUAUAGUACUUCCUUCUUCAUCUUCUUUUCUUCUCUGCUGGCCCUUGGAUAUGCAUGCAAUGUUGUGUACAUAUACAUCCAUGUAUACGAUAAAGAUUUAAGUUAUAUAAACUAACAAUGUUGUAGACCACAUCUGGUGAGAAACAUGAAAUCAAUCGACAUCAGAAAUAGGGAAUUCAUAAAGAAAACUAUUGAACAGAAAAAUCAUUACACCCUCGGGCUUUAAUUCUUUUGUCUUGCUUUUUUCUUUUUUUGAUUCAUUUCAAAGAUUUUCUUUUUUCUUUUUUUUAGUUCUAAUUUUUAAAUGAUAUGGUUAGAACCAUAAGAUUAAAAGUGUUUUGAUUCAUUUUUAUUUAUUUCUAACUUAAGAUUAUAAAAUUAAAAUUUUUAUUUUAUUUUUUAAACUCCAUAUCAAAUCAAAAUGGAUCAAAUAAAUUGACAUGGUAUAAGUAUUAAAGAAGAGCCGACAACAGAAUUAUAAAGGGACCCUGAUACUUUGAAAUUAGUGGGAGGAGAUGUCACCAUGGUGAAUACUAUAAUACGUGAUGAUGGGGAUUGUGGACACUUAGGCUUGGCCCCCACGUUCAUUAGAUUAAUAAUGAAGGGUCAAAAUUCUCUUUGUAAUAUCUCAGUGUGGAACAGUAUUCAACAGAGAGGUUAUAAUUAUUAUUAUUCCACGCAUUUUUUUGGCCAAGACAUAAUGAUGAUCUCUUUAGCCUUUUCUUCAGUUUGAAGAGGGCCAAAUUUUGAAAACCCAACUUGCCAGCACAAGCCUAGUUUUAGUCAAAGUUCAUUUGGAGCCAAUGUUACUUGAUUUUAACUAUGUUUCUCAACUUGAAAUGACUGAUAUUUUAAAUCUUAAAAGAGAUGAGAAGAAUAAUUGUCUUUUGUAUUUUCCAUUUUUUCUGUUAACAUGUUACAUUGUUCACUUUUGUUGGACUGAUAAUGUGACGGGACAUAAAUUGAAGUAGCCAUCUUCAGUUGCUCCAAAAUCUAUAAUUAGUCUUUCUUUAAAGAACUUCCGUGCUAAUCAGAAUUUUACUCGGUCAUUCUAUGACAAAUUUACUAGUUACAGAUACACAUAUACUACGUCAAUUGGGCAUAGUUAUGCUAACUGUGUAAAUGUACUAUGAUUUGCUUCCAUUCAGAUGCCAUUGCUGUAUUUAUACUCGUAAGUAGCUAUGUUUCAAGUAUCAUUCAUGCAGAGUUUCUCGUGCAGAUGAUUAAUUGGGGGAUAAAUACUGGUUCCGCCAACAUCGUGGCCGGUCAUGGUUGCAUGUUCAAACAUCUUGCUGAGAUAUCAAUGAAAGGUAGAAUUUGUGACCUGGUACAGUAGGUUAAGAAUACGCUGAUAGUGUAAAAUAUCUAUCUAUAAAUUUCUACCUCAUCAGUGUAUAUGAGUUAAAAUUCAUCAAUUUCAACUCCUGCGAGAUAUAUAUUAUCAAUAGAAGAGGCUAGCAAGACUUUCAGUUCCAGGUUAAAUAUGUGGAAGUGAUCUAAGGUUGACACAGCUUCAUGAAUCGUUCAUCAAAUGCCUUGUAUAAUGACGGUAUAACUUAGAGAGAAAAAAGGAAAUAUUACAAACGAUGAUAAUCCUACAAGAGUUGUGCACUUUGACAGAUCUCAGAGCCCUUAUUGAUAUUAGCAUAUACUAAACUGGAUGUAUUGGAAACUACUGACAUUUGUGCGAAAAGGACCAGUUACCAUUGUACAGAACAAAAGGUGCAUCAUUUGACAGCUACCAUCUCAGUGUGGAUUGAUCCAGCAAUAUGGAAGAUCAAAGUCAUGUGUUCUAUUUUUUUCUUUUUUCAUGUGAGUACAAUUAGUAAAUCAGUCACACUUUUGCAACCCUUCAUGCCGGAGACCCUUAGUUCUCUUUUCUAGUUGCUCCUUUGUGAGCUGCCAGUUCCUGAUGUGAACUAUGCACCUGUGUUUUGAUCCAUAAGAACAUGAUAAUACUUAUCUCAAGUCUUUUACCACACUUCUCUAACAAGUAGCACUCCUAUUUUAGUAAAGCAUAGAUAUGAUCACAAAAUGAAUGAAUUCAAAGAGGAAUCAAGGGAGAAUUCAGAUUACAGUAGACUAGAAGUCUCAGUUCAAGUCCUGGGUGCAUUUCCUCCUUAAAUACGCCCUACUGGCAUGAAUCUGGAUUAGUUGGGGGCCCAAUGCGUUUACCGGACACCGGGUGGGAAACCAAAAAGAUGUAGAGAAGUUUCGGGCAAAAGCAAAGCAAAUACAUCUUAUGCACUCCGGCUAAUUAUCUCAAGUGCAGAGAUCAAUGACUAUCAUUGUGGGAAACAGCCUCUCUACCUCCCAAGGUAAGGGUAAGGUUUGCUUAUACACUACCCUCCCCAAACCCCACCUGUGCGAUUGCAUUGAGUACAUUGUUGUUUUAGUGGAGAUCAAUGACAAUAAAAUGCAAAUAACCUCUAAGAACCAUAUGAGCUAUAAGCUGAUUUUAUCCUCUGCAUGCUAAAAAUGCUUACUCUGCUAGUGUUUCCUGAGAGAAUCAUAGCCAUAUAACAUCUGAGGGAAUUCGCAAACCAUGUCUCUAUGAUUCAAUCGACAAAAGUUCAGUGUCUUUCUAUGCUAGACAUGAUUCUCCUUUUCUAAUUUUCCUCAACUAGUAACAGCAUUUGUAGUGAAAUUUCAUAUCCAUCCUAGUGUUCCUCUCCAGGAAGACGCAUUUUCUGAUCUCCAUAGUUAGCUUCCCCGUCCAUUCAAAAAUUGCAUACCUGACAAGGCACAUUAAUCCUGGUCUUGAAAGCCUUUUCCAACUGUUGUGAGAAAUAUUAAAUGAAAAUCAACACAGAACGCCACACUCAGCCAGCCAAAAAUGUAAGCAAAAAUCAUUGUUUACUAAUUCACUGACCAAUCUUAUAUACUCAUUCUAGAGAGUCUUUAAUGCUAGUAUGCUACCAAUUCAUCAUACAAGCUUCUCAUCCAAAGUUUUGGAUCCUAAUUGCAUGAAGUUUUUAGGUUAUUGCAGUCCAGACUCCAGACUAGAAACUGAAAGGUUGGUCGAACAAUUGAAGUCAUUCCUCAUAUAUCAUUAGAUUGAUGAGUGACAAAAGAUGCACUCUUGCAACCGCAUAUACCUCACCCCUAAAGCAUAUCCAUUAUUGUUGGGUAAGUAUGCACGCAAAUCUGGUGUCCAAUCCUGAUCAUAGAACCUUUUGAAAUUUUUAUUAAGCAGGAAUAGUUGCUGCGUAAGUCAACUCAUUAAACCCAGCAAGGCUCAUUAAUGUAUAGCCAGUUAGGAUAUUUUGGGAGCAUAGAAGAUAUGGAGGAGCUAAUACAAGCAGAGAAGAGAUGAGGAUCAUAACUGAAGCGACAUGAAUUGUCUGUUGACAGAGGAACAAAUCAAUCAGCAAGACACCAAGUCGAGAAUAUACCAAUCUCAACAAGUCUAAGCUUCAUUUUGUGUGCGGAGGCUACAUGAUUUUCAAAGGAAAUUACUGAUAUAAAGCUACCUCUUAAUCUUGCUAUACUGCAAGAUUGAGAAGUCGCAUUAUCCAUGCUGGCAAUAUAGGUAGAAGAUUUUUAUGAGGAUACAGAAAGCAUAUGGAGAUGAGGAAGGGGAAACCAUGUUUAGAAGUCAUUAAUUAAAUACGUCCAACAAUAUCUCAAAACCAUUAAGAAAUUGAAAUCCACCUUGAAUAGAAGAUUAAUUUGCAAAGUGAAAACCACAACCAAAAACCAUAGAAGCUCAUGAUUGAUCCCCCAAAAAUGGAGCAACACUAACAAAGUAGACAAGCAAAAUCCAGUCAACCAAACUAUAUUUUCUCUUGCAAGUGAGAUUAAGCAAUCCAUUUCACCUAAUACUUUGACACAUUUGCCAACCCCUAGCAUAUAUGUUACACUGUGUUUAAAGCCUACAAAAGACAGUAAUUUCCCAACAACAUCGGAGCAACGGAAUCAAUAGAAUCUUUAUGUUGCAGAAUCCAAUAUAGACAGAUAUAGACAGUCUGAAUUUGGCCACAGAAAGAAGAAGAUAAAAAGGAAAGAGUAAUGGAACUUCAAUCAAAUGGAGUAUGAUCUCAGCCAAAUACAUGUAUUAUCUGAUAACAUAUAAACCAUGAUUAAUUAGCUACUAUCUCCCUAAAUCACCUUCCUUUUUAUCAUAACUAAACUACUCAAGCCAACUGGUAGUUCCCAUUGACAUACUGUGGCUACCAACUGUAGGACCUCCAUCCCCCAAGCAAGAAUAAGAGGCUGUCCUCUCCUUACAGUCUGACAAAUGGCUUUCCGCUCCGGAGAGCAUUUUUUGUCUACGCUGGUCAAUGGAAGCCCCCUAUCAAGCAAGGAGGAAGCAGCUCUUACCACGGCGAAGUCACAAAUGACUACUUAUUAUUAUAGUAAAUCAGUGUAUCAAGAUGGUGAUUUCAUAACCUGAGCCUCCCUUAACCAGCCGACCUUACUUAGUAACCUUAGCCUCCCUUUCUUCAUAAUUUUCUCGUUCGACUAAGUGACUUCGUAAACUCGACCUACUUUUCGUACUGUUCCAUAAAUAAGGGCACAAAGUUCCUUUUUUUCCUCUGAUAAACUUGGAUAUCUCUAUCUGCGUUUUUUCCCCUUCUAAAAUCUAAGAUGAAGCCUUCAAAGAGGUCACCAGAGAGCACAAAUUGUCAAAGAAAUAACAGACUUCUAACACAACAAAAAAACGAACUUUAUGCCCUCAAAUUUAUUCUAUUUGACACAAUUCACAAACCCAUGCCAGAUUUACAUCACUAUUUACAAACACAACAAACCCCACCACUCAAAAAAAAAAUUCUUGUAUAUCAGCAAAAACAUAAGUAAAUCAAGAAGAAGGAAGCUUAAUAGUGAUAGAAGAGUCGUCGCGAGCGAUGGGUUUGGUGAGCAUAAGAGGGCGGUCCUUGGUCUCCUCAAAAUCACAUCCAUCAUCGUCGCAGUCGUUGCCGGCGUUAAGGUUGAUGCAGGAGCAUCGUUCAAGUGACUGGAAGAAGGCGGAGGCGAUGCUGGUCCCCAACCAAAUCGCCAUUGACAUAAACCCAGAAUCGUCUUCCUCUGACCGACUCCGCAACAUCUCUCUUCGCUUUUUCGUCUCCCGAGUUCUACCACCGCUGAAACGAACAAGAAAAAUAAGCCACCAAGGCCUGGGCAAAUUUCCAAUUAAAAAAAGGGAACAAGUAUAUCCCACAAACUUGUUCUUAAAAAAAAAAUAAUUAGGAUAGCUGUGGAACAAUUAUAUUAAUUGUAACAUAGUUAUGAAAUAAUUAUAUUAGUUGUCUGAAGAAUUUUGUGUAGUUGUUUAACAAUUUCUCUCAAUUGUCAUAACUAGGAAUAACUAAGUGCAGUUGUUGAACAAUUUUGAUAGUUAUUGAACAAUUUAUAAUUAUCAAACUUUAUCGAACAACUAUCAAAGUUGUUCUACAACUGUCACAAAUUAUUCGAACAAAAAAAACUUAACAAAAAAAACUCAAAAAAAAUUAUUCUUUCAACCUAAUUUAAAAAAUUUGAAAGACUUUCUUUAAUUGGACAAUUUAUGUGUUCUUUCUAAUUCAAAGUCCCAAAACAAACAGAGGCUCUUCAGGGUCCGUGACAUAUACAACUACUGAAUUGUUUGGUACCGGAAUACACCAUUUACUACCCGCUGG